rnacentral:lncRNA from 1 species
AACACCGGGCCUACCGACUGGAUACACUCGGUGCGCCGUAACCUCUCUGGAGUGAAACUGCUGUACGUUUCCGGGUGCAUUUACUAGCAUUUAGAGCAUACGUUACCUGUAACGUAUGCAUUCAAUCGCCACUACUCCACCCUUGAAUCAGAAUCGUUGUGGAGGGCAGCGCACUCUAUAUAAUCCGCCCUCCCCCACUGGUAAAAGGGUUAGCAAAUCUUUGUACUCCAUAUCACACUCGGUAACAAGCUCCGAGAGCACUGAGACGUAGGGCUGUUACCUCCACCACAGAGGGGCCUGAACUCAUACAACCUCGCCGUAUCUAGGACUCUGCCCAUCUCAUUCGUACCCUACACAUCUACUGUCAGGCUUAUACCCACGACAGGAACCGUCCUUAGGAACUGAGUUCCGUGUAUGUAAUCCAAGACAAGAUACUACCACAUGCUGGGCCCUCAAAUAUGACCCCGCUCGACUUAUUAAUAGCUUAUUACUCGGUCCAGGAGUUGCAAGUAGUUUCUGGUGUUUAUAGUCAUGCUGGAGGCCGUGCAUAGUGUUGACCUUAGAGGUGGACUAUGAUGCGGUAGGCAGUGGCACGGUGUACCAAGUGGCACCCGGAUGGUGGGCUUGGGAACCCUGCGCACAUCGUUUGGGGUCAUGGUGGAAACUUCGGCCGGACUUCCGUGCGGGUUACCCUCAGAUAGGCGAUAAACCUAGACUAGGUAUUAGCAUGGUUAACGAUCGUGGCCGACUCCCUCGCUGGGCUUCCGCUUGAAGGUUGACGAGGUGCAUGACGUGCACAUACCAAUAAGUGGCGAGAGCGUGUGUGAAGAAGUACACCCCUGCAGGGUUAUGAUCUAUUCGAAUAGUCGCGUCCGCGGUUAUGGACUACUUGGAAACAUAUGUUGUUCAUAGACAACUAUAAUGGCUACUCAUAAAAAUGUCAAGAUAAGUGUGAGUGUCAUGGAUGGCAUUUCCGUAGGGUGACAGAAUGAUUCCAUGAUGGUGUAUUGAUGUGGAGUUGGUGGACUCGUGUGCGAGAAAACAAAGUUGUUGAAAUUAUUUAAAAAUGUAGCUUUGUCUCGCCAAGAGUCAAAUGCUGGCUUUCUGCAUGAAACCCCACAACUCCUUGUCCAUACAUUGCAUGAGUAGAUAGAUUAUUCUAAAGUCUUGCUGAGUACUUUUGUACUCACGUUUGCUUAAUAAAUUGUUGCAGAGGUUGUUAAUGACCCUAAUGGUGGGUUAUAUCUAGACGUUGACGACGACGAGUAGCUGGUGUCCCAGGUACGAUCUGGCCCUAGGUUGGGCAUGUAGAUAGUCAGGCCAUGUGCCUUUUUACCUUUCCAUCUGUGUGUACUCAGACAGUUUUAAUCUUCCGCUGGCUUGUAAGACUUGUUUGAAUGACUUGUGAUGAUGGGUCGUGAGACCCCUAUCUGUGUAAUAUUAUGUGUGAGGCUNNNNNNNNNNNNNNNNNNNNNNNNNNNNNNNNNNNNNNNNNNNNNNNNNNNNNNNNNNNNNNNNNNNNNNNNNNNNNNNNNNNNNNNNNNNNNNNNNNNNAGGAUCGGGGUCCCGACAGAUACAAGACGCUCCAAGCAAAACACAUAUCAUGUGGUGAAUAAAAAUAUAGCUCCAAGUAAUGUUACUGAUGAAUUGAAGACAAAAGAGGGGAUGCCUUCCCGGGGCAUCCCCAAGCUUAGGCUUUUUGGUGUCCUUGAAUUUGGAUAGGGAUGCCUUGGGCAUCCCCAAGCUUGAGCUCUUUCCACUCCUUAAAUCUUUGUCCAUGAGAGCAUCACCCAAAACUUGAAAACUUCACAACACAAAACUUAAACAGAAACUCGUGAUAACAUUAGCACAAGAAAACAAACUACCACCACUUUAGGUACUGUAGCAAUCUUGAUUUCUAUUUAUAUUGGUAUUGGACUACUGUAUUCUCACUUUUCCAUGGCUAGUACCCCCCCCCCUCGAUACUAUCCAUAGUUUCAUCAAAACAAGCAACCAACUCAACAAAAACAGAAACUGUCAAAAACAGACCGGUCUGUAGGAAUCUGUAUACUUCGUAUACUUAUGGUACCUCAAAAAUUCUGAAAAAUUACGACUGCCUGGGUAAAAGGCAUAUCAACCAGUAGCAAAAUGAAUCAACUCAAAAUCUCUUUCUGAAUAAAAAUGAAAAAUCAUCUCGUGAGCGAAAAGUUUCUGUCUUUUUCCAGCAGGAUUAAACAACCCUUACAAAGACUAGUCAUAAAGGUUUUGCUUGGCUCAAACACAAAAAGAAACACAAAAUACACAACCAUAACAAGAUUAUGAUUGUGCAGACGCAAAAAAAAUAUAAAAGAAAAAGAUAAAUUCAUUGGGUUGCCUCCCAACAAGCGCUAUUGUUUAACGCCCUUAGCUAGGCAUUGAUAAUUCAAUGAUGCUCACACAAAAGACAAGAAUUGAAGCACAACGAGAGCAUCAUAAAGCAUGUGAAAAUCACAUCCAAGUCUAACACACUUCCUAUGCAUAGGCAUUUUAUAGGAGAACAAAUUGGCAAGACAACCAAUAGUUACCAAAUGCAAGGAAGAAGUAAGAGACAAUAGCAAUCUCAACAUAACGAGAGGUAAUUUGGUAACAUGAAAGUUUCUACCACAAUAUUUUCCUCUCUCAUAGCAAUUACAUGUGGGAUCAUAAUCAAAUUCAACAAAAUAGCUAUCACAAAGGAUAUACUUUUCAUGAUACACAUGCAUGCAAAGUUGACGCUCUUUAAAAAUAGUGGGAUUAUCAUCAACUAAAGUCAUGACUUCUCCAAACCCACUUUCAAUAUUAUUUCAAAUAUCAUUGCAAUAAGUAGUGGACAUAGCAAAACUAGCAUCCCCAAGCUUAGGGUUUUGCAUAUUUUUAGCAUGAUUGUCACUAAUAGGAUUUAUAGUGAAACCAUUGCAAUCAUGCUUUUCAUUCAAGGAGCCCUCGUGAAUCACUUCAUAAAUCUCUUCAUCACGAUUUUCAGAUUCACGCAUCUCAAGAAAAACUCCAUAGAGAAAGUCAAGUGCACUCAACUCACUAGCAAUUGGUUCCACAUAAGUGGAUCUCUUAAAGAGAUUAGCAAGUGGGUGAGGAUCCAUAUCAAUAGAUUUUCAGCAAGCGAAGAUGCAAGCAUAUUAAAGGCACAUAGCACUCAAGCAAAGGAAAGGCAAGCGAGAGAAAAGGGCGAACGAAAAAGGCAAACGAAGAAAAGGGCAAAUAUAUUUGUAAAUUUUUGUUUUUCAGAAGUGCGGGAGAGGAAAACGAGAGGCAAAAAAGUAAAUGCAAGAGAUGAGUUUGCGACACUUACUUGGAUGAGUUCUUGACUUGAUCNNNNNNNNNNNNNNNNNNNNNNNNNNNNNNNNNNNNNNNNNNNNNNNNNNNNNNNNNNNNNNNNNNNNNNNNNNNNNNNNNNNNNNNNNNNNNNNNNNNNUUGCAUAUGAUUGUUAUUGAAUGUUGCCAUUUAUUUCGGUAGGCUCCGCAACCCCGGAUUCCACCGAAUAUCCGUCUGACGGAUAUCGUUCCUCCUCUGAGCAACAAGGCAAGCAACCCCUUUGAUCAUUCCGAUAAUUCCCAUGUUCUUGCUCCUGCACUUAAUUAUUGCAUUAGGAUCAAAUGCUUCAACUGUUUUUGCCACGUUAGUUGAACCCACUUCCUUUGCAUGACCUAACUUUGUCACAGUAAAUAGCCGAACCUUGCAACCUAGCAUACCUGGUAGUUGCUUGAGCUAUGAUGUGCCUUAUCCUGCUAUGCAUGCUAUGCUUAGAGUUGUGUAUGGUCUGUCAUCUGGGAGAUGAACAGAAAUGUGGAAUGUGUUCGGUGAGCAAAGGUUGUGUGUUGAACUUGAUUUGGUAAAGGUACCGGUGAAAGGCUGUGUAGGAGUACAUGGCGGGUUGUUUCAUUGGAACCGUCCUUAGGAACUGAGUUCCGUGUAUGUAAUCCAAGACUAGAUACUACCACAUGCUGGGCCCUGAAAUAUGACCCCGCUCGGCCUAUUAAUCGCGUAGUACUCGGUCCAGGAGUUGCAUGUAGUUUCUGGUGUUUAUAGUAAUGCUGNNNNNNNNNNNNNNNNNNNNNNNNNNNNNNNNNNNNNNNNNNNNNNNNNNNNNNNNNNNNNNNNNNNNNNNNNNNNNNNNNNNNNNNNNNNNNNNNNNNNCUGCCAAACGAGGAGAAGUUGCCUACCAGUUGGAACUUCCUCCGCAUCUUUCCAAGGUUCAUGAUGUUUUCCACGUCUCGCAACUCAGGCGUUGCUUUUCGGAUCCUAUCCGUGAAGUGGACCACGAAACGCUUGAUCUACAAGAUAACCUUUCAUACCGAGAAUACCCCGUGCGUAUUCUUGAUCAAGCUGAGAGUAACACUCGACGUCGAAACCUCAAGUUUCUUAAAGUUCAAUGGUCAAAUCAUUCUGAAAAGGAGGCAACUUGGGAAAGAGAGGAUCGUCUCCGACUUGAAUAUCCUGCGUUAUUCCCGACGACUUCUAAAUCUCGGGACGAGAUUCUCUUGAGUGUGGGUGAGUUGUCACAUCCCUAACACUUUAAGCAAGUUAGUCUUGUGCUCAUGUCUUCUUUGCAUUUGCAUCUAAGGAGUUUCAACAAAAACAAGAUAGUGGCAAAGGAAAAACUCAAAACCCUAGCUACUACUUUAAAUAAAGAAAAUCUCAAACUAGUUGAAAUCAAUGAACCCAAAAUGGCCUCAAGAAAUGUUCAAACUUUCUGAUAAAUCAUGAAAGUAAAUGAGCAUUGGAGAAAACUAUUUUCUUGACACAUUAAGCAUUUUUUAAAUUAAUGCAAAAGCCACUGGUUUCAAAUUUUAAAUUUGAAAUCAGAAACUAUAAAUUUUCAAAAAUGUUGAAAACUUUGGAAAUGGUUGGGAAUAUUAUAACAAUAUUUCAGGAGGUCUAAAAUAGUUUUUACUUUUUGUUUUGGAGCUGAAAUAAAUAACACAACAAUAGUUAGCAAAACAGAAAAACAAAAACAGAAAAAAAAAUGGGAAACCCUUACCUGUCGUCUAGCCUGGCCCGGCCCAUCUCCCUGGCUCGUCCCCUCCCUCGCGCCAGUAGGAGCAGGAGGUGGCCGCCGCCUCCUCCGGCGCGGCCACGCACCUGUGCGCCUGCCUGGCCGCCGCCUCGCGCUGACAAGGCUGGGGAUAAGCUCCCCAGGGUCUCCUCUAUCCAUUCCCCAGCACCGUUCUUCCUCCCCUCUUGGAUCUUGCCCUCCCUCCUGCUGCCGCCAUUGGAGCCGAGCUUGAGCUCGAGCCGCAACACCUCUAGCCAUGGGAACCCUCCUCCGAGUAGUCUGUUAGCUCCGCAUCGUCGCCCUGGUCAUCUCUGCAGAAGCCGAAGUCUCCCCAAGCUCUGCAUCGCCCCCAACGCCGUCGUCUUCCACCUCCGGCCGCCGGACCUCUCCCGUCGAUUCGCUCCCUCCGGCACAUCCUCGAGCCCCUCAUCAGCACCAUCGGAACCGCCGUGAGCUCGUCGUCGUUUCCCCUCUCGCCCCACGCUCUCCCGUGCAUCGUAGCCUCGUUCCCCACCAAGGCCGAGAGCUCCUCGCCGCCGGCCAUGUCGUCGCCGUCGCUGUGGUGUCCGAUCCACACGCUCGAGCUAGGGUUCGAGCUCCUGGAGCCUCGAGGAGCGUGAUGAGCCCCUCAGCUGCCCUCCCCGUGCCCUAGAGCCGUCUCUCAUAGAAGGCCGAGCUUCGGCCGCCGCUCCGGCUCGUCGCCGGCGCCUCUCCCGGCGACCCUAGCCUCCCCUGAUGCCCCUGCCAGAUCGGCCACUUCGCCUGCGUGCCGUAGCUGCAAACCGCGUUCGAAUUGGUGCUGUGCAGCGCCGUUUAGGUCGCCUCCGGCGAGCCCUCCGCCAUGGGCCUGGUCGCCGGCGACCACCCUCCGGUGGGGGUCGACGUGGCAAAGCUAACCCAGCAGCUCAGGGCUUAAUCACUCGCUCACAGUGGGCCCAAGGCCAAGUCAAACCCCAAUUAGGACUGGUCAGCGCGGGAUUAGUCCCAGAGAGGCUGACCAGCGGGUCCCCCCUGUCAGGUUUGACCUGAACAGGUCGGCUGACCUGCUGACGUCAGUCUGAUGCAAUAAAUAGAAUUUCCAGUAUAGAAAUAAUUCUAGUAAAUUGCUAAAACUUGUAAAAAUCAUAGAAAUUAAUCUGUAACUCCAAUGAAAAUAAUUUAUAUAUGAAAAAGUAUCAGAAAAAUUCAAGGAUUCUGAUUAUGCUAUUUUCAACUAUGUUUGAAAAAGUUACAGAACCCUAAAUUGUGGAAUAAGGAAUAAUUCAAUUCUUAUAAUCACUUUUUAAAUGGAAUUUGCAAAAAUAUUCAAAUUUCAUUAUGUUUGCAAUGAUCACACACUGUCCUAGUUACAAAUCAGUACCAUAACAUGACAUCUCAUGCAAGCCAACAUCAAGUUGAUCUGAGCAUCAGGUCGAAUCAAUUAAAUCGGUAACCGUGAAUACCCCGUUUGAAGUGAUACCGAAUAUGAUUCAAAUCAACAACUCUAAACCUAAUACAUGUUGAUUAUAAUAACUUAUCACCUUGCAUUCUCAUGCCAUGCUCAUGCAUCAUUUUGAUUGCAUAUGAUUGUUAUUGAAUGUUGCCAUUUAUUUCGGUAGGCUCCGCAACCCCGGAUUCCACCGAAUAUCCGUCUGACGGAUAUCGUUCCUCCUCUGAGCAACAAGGCAAGCAACCCCUUUGAUCAUUCCGAUAAUUCCCAUGUUCUUGCUCCUGCACUUAAUUAUUGCAUUAGGAUCAAAUGCUUCAACUGUUUUUGCCACGUUAGUUGAACCCACUUCCUUUGCAUGACCUAACUUUGUCACAGUAAAUAGCCGAACCUUGCAACCUAGCAUACCUGGUAGUUGCUUGAGCUAUGAUGUGCCUUAUCCUGCUAUGCAUGCUAUGCUUAGAGUUGUGUAUGGUCUGUCAUCUGGGAGAUGAACAGAAAUGUGGAAUGUGUUCGGUGAGCAAAGGUUGUGUGUUGAACUUGAUUUGGUAAAGGUACCGGUGAAAGGCUGUGUAGGAGUACAUGGCGGGUUGUUUCAUUGGAACCGUCCUUAGGAACUGAGUUGCGUGUAUGUAAUCCAAGACUAGAUACUACCACAUGCUGGGGCCUGAAAUAUGACCCCGCUCGGCCUAUUAAUCGCGUAGUACUCGGUCCAGGAGUUGCAUGUAGUUUCUGGUGUUUAUAGUAAUGCUGGAGGCCGUGCAUGCUGCUGACCUGAGAGGUGGACCGUGAUGCGGUAGGCAGUGGCACGGUGUACCAAGUGGCACCCGGAUGGUGGGCUUGGGAACCCUGCGCACAUCGUUUGAGGCCGUGGCGGAAACCUCGGACGGACUUCCGUAGGGGUUACUCUCAGAUAGGCGAUAAACCUGGACUAGGUACUAGUGUGGUUAACGGUCGUGGCCGACUCCCUCGCUGGGCUUCCGCUUGAAGGUUGCCGAGGUGCAUGACGUGCACAUGGCGAUAAGUGGCGAGAGCGUGUGUGACGAAGUACACCCCUACAGGGUUAUGAUCUAUUCGAAUAGCCGUGUCCGCGGAUAUGGACUACUUGGAGACAUAUGUUGUUCAUAGAUAACUUCAAUGGCUACUCAUAAAAUUGUCAAGAUAAGCGUGAGUGUCGUGGACGGCAUUUCCGUACGGAGACGGAAUGAUUCCACGAUAGUGUAUUGUUGUGGUGUUAGUGGACUCGUGUGCGAGAAAUCAAGUUGUCAAAAUUAUUUAAAAAUGCAAGUUGUCUAGCCACGAGUCAAAUGCUGGCUUUCCGCAUGAAACCCCACAAUACCUUUUGAUACCUUGCAUGAGUAGUUAGUUCUCCUAAAGUCUUGCUGAGUACCUUCGUACUCAUGUUUGCUUAAUAAAUGUUGCAGAGGUUGCUAAUGACCCUAAUGGAGGGUUCUUCGUAGACAUCGACGACGACGAGUAGCUGGUGUCCCAGCUACGAUCUGGCCCUACGUCGGCUCUGUAGUAUAGUAAGGCCAUGUGCCUUCUAGUUGCCCUGUCUGUACCCAGACAGUUUAUAACUCUUCUGCUCGCUUGUAAUUGUAUGACUGUUAUUAUGGGUCGUGAGACCCUUAAUGUGUAAUAUUAUGUGUAUGGCUCUUACGAGCCUCUUAAAUAAAGUUUGUAUGUUUAUGGUUAUGUUGUGAUGCCAUCGAUGUAUCUAUACAUAUCGGUAUGCCAUGUGUACGUGUGUCGUACUUGAUAUGUAUGGGGUUCGAUUACCUAGUCGUGAACUUUAGUAGCACUCCUUACGAGGAAAUGCCCCUUUGUGAUCCAAUGAGCCUUGGUAGUUCGCUACUGCUCCGGACACAUUGGUUGACCGGCAUGUGUCCUUCUUAGCUGCUGUGUCUGUCCCCUUUGGGGAAAUGCCACGCGAUGUAAUGGAGUCCUUGUAGCUUGCUACGACUCGUCUACAUUCGCUGAUGACCGACACCUGCUUUGUUGGGUCAUGUAUGCCUGUCCUUGUACGGUACUGCCACUUUGGUUUAUGACUAGUCAUGUCGAUCCGGGUUCUUUGACAUUGUAUUGCUAGCGACACUAUCGCAUAUGUGAGUCAAAAGACGCAAACGGCCCCGGCUAAGGUAAGGCUGCAGCCGUGGAGUUAACCGUGCGUGAGACCACAAAGGGAUGCGAUGUGUUACAAGCUGGAUUCCUAUGGCUUAGGAUCGGGGUCCCGACAUCACCAUAGACCUAUGGGUCCAUAGGUAGUAGCUAGAUGGCUUCUUCUCUCUCUUGGAUCUUCAAUACAAAGUUCUCCAUGAUCUUCAUGGAGAUCUAUCCGAUGUAAUAUUCUUUUGCGGUGUGUUUGUCGAGAUCAGAUGAAUUGUAGAUUUAUGAUCAGAUUAUUCUGAUCUGUCUUAUGCAUGAUUUCAUAUCCUUGUAAUUCUCUUCGAGUUGUGGGUUUUGUUUGGCCAACUAGAUCUAUGAUUAUUGCAAUGGGAGAAGUGCUUGGUUUGGGUUCAUAACGUGCGAUGACCUCACCCAGUGAUAGAAGGGGUAGCAAGGCACGCACCGUGUUGUUGCCAUCAAGGGUAAAAAGAUGGGGUUUUCAUCAUUGGUUUGAGAUUAUCCCUCUACAUCAUGUCAUCUUGCUUAAGGCGUUACUCUGUUCGUCAUGAAAUCAAUACACUAGAUGCAUGCUGCAUAGUGGUCGAUGUGUGGAGUAAUAGUAGUAGAUGCAGAAAGUAUCGGUCUACUUGUCUCGGACGUGAUGCGUAUAUGUAUGAUCGUUGCCUUAGAUAUCGUCAUGACUUUGCGCGUUUCUAUCAAUUGCUCGACAGUAAUUUGUUCACCCACCGUAAUAUUUGCUAUUUUAUGAGAAGCCUCUAGUGAACACUAUGGCCCCCGGGUCUACUCCACACCAUAUUUUCAGCCUUACUCUUUUUUUUCGUUGCACUUUCCGCCUUCAGAUCUCACUUUGCAAUCAAUCUUGAAGGGAUUGACAACUCCUUUAUAGCAUUCGGUGCAAGCUCUUUUGUGUUUGUGCAGGUNNNNNNNNNNNNNNNNNNNNNNNNNNNNNNNNNNNNNNNNNNNNNNNNNNNNNNNNNNNNNNNNNNNNNNNNNNNNNNNNNNNNNNNNNNNNNNNNNNNNAACCCCUACAGGGUUAUGAUCUAUUUGAAUAGCCGCGUCCUCGGAUAUGGACUACUUGGAAACAUAUGUUGUUCAUAGAUAACUUUAAUGGCUAUUCAUAAAAGUAUCAAGACAAAUGUGAGUACCGUGGACGGCAUUCUCGUAGGGAGACGAGAAAGGAUCCAUGGUAGUGUAUUGUUGUGGAGAUAGUGGACUCGUGUACGACUUCUCAAACUUGUUCAAAAUUACUCAUAGUCGUAGCACAUAUUAGCCAAGAGUCAAAGCUGGCUUAUUGCAUGAAACCCCACAACCCCUUUGUUGAUACAUGUGCAUGAGUAGAUAGAUCUGAUUUAUAGUCUUGUUGAGUACUUUUGAACUCAUGUUUGCUUAAUAACUGUUGCAGACGACACCCACGAAGCAUCAGGUGGGUUCUAGCUAGACGUUGACGACGUCGAGUAGCUGGUGUCCCAACUACGAUAUGGCCCCUUCGGGAAGGAACUGUAGAUAGUCAGGCUUUAUGCCUUUUACCUUUCAUCUGUUUGUACUCAGAUAGCUUUAAACUUCCGCAUGGCUUGUAUGACUUUGCGUGUAUGACUUGAGUGUCACGUCAUGUGAUCCCUACCUGUAUGAACAUAUUAUGCAAGGCUCUUCUGAGCCUUCUAAAUAAAUGUUGUGAUGUUGUAUGGUUAUGUUGUGAUGCCAUUGUUGUAUCUAUGCAUAUUGAGUAUGUCAUGCGUAUGUGUAAUGUGCUGCAAUAUGUAUGGGAUUCGACUCCUAGUUGUGUGCCUUUAGUGGUACUCUUUACAGGGAAAUGACCAUUCGUGCUUCCAUUGAGCCUUGGUAGCUUGCUACUGCUCCGGGCACAUUGGUUGACCGACAUGUAUCCUUCUUUGCCGCUCUGUCUGUCCCUUCGGGAAAAUGUCACGCGGUGUAAUGGAGUCCAUGUAGCUUGCUAUGACUCGUAUACACUCGCUGAUGACCGACACCUGCAUUGCUGAGUUAUGUAUGCGUGUCUCUGUACAGAUGUGACACUUUGGUUUAUAACUAGUUAUGUCGACGUGGGUUCUUUGACAUUGGAAUGCCAGCGACACAUUUGCAUACGUGAGUCAGAAGACGUAAACGGUCCCGGCCAAGGUAUGGUGGCAACCGUGGGGACAACCAUGCGUGAGACCGCAAAGUGAUGUGAUGUGUACAUGCUAGAUUCCUAUGGCUUAGGAUCGGGGUCCCGACAGCAUUGGUGUCAGAGCCUGACUGACUAUAGGAUUACCAAGCCAAACUGGUCGAGGUUGAGUCUAGAAAUGAUUUAGUUAUAUAAGGGAAUUGAUUGUGGAAGGGAACAUAAGGCUCUUUUUACUUCUAUUCUCAAGUCAUUCUAUUGUGAGUCACCCUCAUCUUUUCUAUGGGGAUUAAGAACUAGGAUAAUUAUCUAUCUCCGAGGACCAUGUGUUACUACUCCGUAGACUUGUAGGGAAAAUUGUUUGAGAGUCAACUCCAGUUUUCAUGUUUUCCUAUCUGAGUAAAAGUUGUUGACCAUGGAACCCUUAACUUGAAAGUUGAGUGGUUAUGCUAUACAAUAUUUUGCAGGAUGUCUCAGAAUUGUUUUUGAGUAUUUUUAGCCAUUAUGCUAUCUGAUUUUUGCUAAGAGCUCUAAUGCCUUUGCAUUAUCCUCUAUUUCAGAUGCGUCCUCGUCCUUCUCGACAGGUGGUCCGUCUCACUAGGUGCAUUGAUGUACGUGUCACACGCCCAUGCUGGUCGGAGUGAUGUCAGUAGCCGGUUACUGCUCGUACGCAUAGUAUACAGUGGAGGAACAGUACCAGGACUUUAAUCAGAGUUAGUAUCUCUGUACCGUUAGGGUAUAUCCAGCAUACCCUGGAGCUGUGGAGCCAAUCCAUUGGUUUUAUGGAUUGGGGGUUACCAUUGAUAUGGCGGUUCAGGAUGCCGCUUACGCAAUGUUGACCCUUAUGAGAGCCAAUCACGCAUUGCUGCAAAACACAGAGUUUUGCUAUAUUCCAGCCUCUCAGCCAGGAGAAGAAGGUUAUCUCAGUGGAGUUUAUUAUGAUUCUUCUUUGGAGGACCCGUUGUUGCAGGUUACUACUCAGAUGCUAGAGAACAGACACAGAGAUGCCCGUGCUCUUCGCAUGGAGCUUUAUGCUACUCGCGCCUAUCUAUGGACAACUUUUACACAGCUAACGCUUGUUGUUCAGACAUGCUAUGGGGACAUGGAGAUGUUGAACCCGAUACAAACUCAUUUGCCAGCUCCCAUAGAUUGGCCCGUUGUUGAAGGUGUCACCCCUCUUCGUGGACCUCUGUUGCUGCCAGUCAGGCGACCUAGGCCACAUCCGUGUCCUUAUGGUUCCCAGGGAUCUCAGGCUAGGGUGUUUCCUCACCCUCAGGUUCAGCUCCCAGAUCACGUGGGAAACCUUUAUGAGAUGUUCUACGCGGAUGCUUGAGUUCGUGAGUGAUUGUAGUAGUGUUGUAGCAGUUGUAUUUUCCAUGGUCCUAUGUGUCUUGUGGAACAUAGUUGAGGUGUGAGUGGAGUCCCGGAGGCUUAGAUAAAUAAUGUAUAGGAAGCUUGGAAUGCCUCUGAUGAGUGGUUCCAUCUUUUCAGUAGUUUGCUUUUCAGCUUGGGCUUGUACUGAACUAUAUUAUGGUGUGUAUGAACCAUGGUGUGUAUAUGGUAGUUUGCUUGUCACCAUGAUGUUCGGAUGUUUAUUCCCGCAUUCCAUAUUGUUCAGUGAAUUCCUUAACUGUUUUGCUAGAGUUGAUAUCGUCCUUGUCUAAGUUGUGAGUUUUGUUUGUCAGGAUGGUGUUCACUAGGCUCAACCGUGCUCCUACUCAUGAGAAGGGUGAGAGAAGUCAAGCAGCUCAGGAGAACCUACCUCACCCGCUAUCUUUGGCGGAGGUUAUGCCUCAGGCAGAAAGGAACAAAAGAGAAACCAACCGUCUGUUGGAUCGUAUUGAGCAGAAUACGGCUCGCCAACAACGCAAUGAUGCAGUGACCCUUAAUGAUUUCGUGAAGCUGAAUCCACCCAAGUUUCGCCACUCCAUCGACCCCCUCGACGCAGAUGAUUGGUUGACUAGCAUGGCAUGCAAGAUCCUUCUGCCAACAUCGCCGAAGAUGAUAAGGUGACAUUUGCUGCCUACUUCUUGGAAGGCCCCGCCAACCUGUGGUGGGAAAAUUAUGAGGCUAUGCGCCCUGUUGGUCCAGUCGCCACCUGGACUGACUUCAGUCAGCUUUCCAUCUGCACCAUAUCCCAGAAGGUCUAAUGGACUGUAAAAGAGAAGAGUUACGUGCUUUCACUCAAGAAAGUUAGCUGUGGAUGCUUAUAGCCGCGAGUUUGGAAAUCUCGUCCGCUAUGCGCCAGAAGAGGUGUCGACUAACGCCAAAAUGCAGGCAAGGUUCCGCAAGGGACCGAGCCCUGAGCUUCAUCAUGAACUGCGCCUACAUGAGUGUGCGAGAUUCCAAGUCAUGUUAACAAGGCUAUCAGUGCUGAAAUCUGACAGACUGAUUAUGAAGCAACCAAGAAGCACUCUCGUGAUUCUGGUUCCUCAUCCUACUCCAGAUUUCGAAAGGGCCGGGUGUGGGUCCCGAACAGCUCUCAGCCGUCAAGGUAAACCGCGAGGCCAUCCUAUGAGGCGCCUCGUGCAAAUCAGACCAACCCUCCAACCAAGACAUAUGGUGGUCCAGGUGCCAAUGCUGCCUCAUGCACCAACCAAGUGGUCUGUUACGAAUGUGGAAGAACCAGGUCACUAUUCAUGUGAGUGUCCUCAAAACAAUGCUUCCAACCAACCUGGAAAGUCCGUUCGACGUGGCAAGCCAGGCAAAGCAUAUUGUGUGAAGCCAACCCCUGCACGUGGAGGUGUGAAUUACGUCUUAGCCGAAGAAGCUUCAGAAGACCCCGACGUCAUUCUGGGUACGCUUCUUGUCAAUCGCCAUCCAGCAUUUGUUCUUUUUGAUACCGGGCAUCUCAUUCAUUCAUUUCUGAAAGUUAUGCACAAUUGCAUAACAUGACAUUUUGUGAUAUGCCCACUCCAUUAGUGGUUCAGACUCCUUGUUCUAAAUGGAAAACUUCUAGAGUAAGCCAUGACAAUGAAAUUCUUGUGGUCAGGCUAGUCUUCCUAGCAUCUUUGAUAGCCCUUAAAUCUCCAUAUAUCAAUAUCAUCUUGGGUAUGGACUCGAUGUCAGCUCAUUAUGCCAAGAUUGAUACUCAUACUAGGAAUGUUCAGCUUACACAUCCAUCAGGUGAGAUAGUUAAUGUCUCAACUCGAGUCGCCAAGUGCCAACCUUAUUGUUUCAAUGCUAGCCCUCUUUCAGAGCUAGAAGAUAUUCGGGUAGUCCAUGACUUUUUGGAUGUCUUUCCAGAAGAACUGCCAGCCAUUCCACCUGAGGAGGAUGUAGAGUUUGUGAUAGAUCUUGUCCGAGGAACUGUACUAAUAGCCACAAGACCCUAUAAGAUGGCACCCUUAGAGCUAGCCGAAGUUAAGAAACAACUCAAUGAGGCCUUGAAUAAAGGUUUCAUUCAUCCUAGUUCUUCUCCUUGGGCUUGUCAUGUCCUCUUCAUCAAGAAGAAGGAUGGAACGGGUCGGAUGGUUGUAGAUUAUCGACGAGUUAAUCUGGUUACCACAAAGAACAAGUAUCCGCUACCCAGGAUCAACGACCUGUAUGAUCAGCUCGUUGGAUACUCAUUCUUUUCCAAAAUGGAUUUCAGGUUGGGCUACCGUCAAAUCAAAAUCAAGAAUGGGGACAUUCCAAAAACGACAUUUGUCACUCUUUAUGGCCAAUACGAGUACACCAUCAUGUCCUUCGGUUUAACCAAUGCUCCAGCCACUUUCUCUGGCUUGAUGAAUUCGAUCUUCACGGAGUAUUUGUAUAAGUUCGUCGUGGUUUACCUUGAUGAUAUACUCACUUACUCGAAGAACGAAAAAGAACAUGUUGAGCAUCUAAGGGUGGUAUUGAUGAAACUUUGAGAGCAUCGCCUUUAUGCCAAGUUCUCUAAAUGUGAAUUCUGGUUGCCAGAAGUGACCUAUCUAGGCCACGUAAUCUCUGGUAAGGGUAUUGCUAUCAAUCCCGAGAGAGUUCAAGCUGUCCUUGAUUGGACUCAACCUGAAUCGGCUAAGCAAGUUAGGAGUUUUCUUGGUCUAGCGAGCUAUUUUCGCCGCUUUGUCGAGAACUUCUCCAAGGUUGCAAAGCCUCUAACUAAACUCCUCAAGAAAGACAAAAAGUUCAAGUGGACCCCACAAUGUGAGCACAGUUUUCAAGAACUGAAAAUACCCGUGACUUCUGCACCCGCAUUGGUACCACCAGAUUUUUCUAAGGACUUUGCUAUCUAUUGCGACGCCUCGCGACAAGGAUUAGGUUGCAUCCUCAUGCAAGAUCGUCAUGUGACUGCGUAUGCAUCUCGACAGUUGCGUCCACAUGAGGAUAAUUAUCCAACACAUGAUCUAGAGCUUGCAGCUGUAGUCCAUGCACUGAAAACCGGUCGACAUUACCUUCUGGGUAAUUGUUGCAAAAUUUACACUGAUCACCAAAGUCUUAAAUACAUCUUCACCGAACCGGAUUUGAAUCUCAGGCAAAGACGAUGGGUCGAGUUGAUCACAUACUACGACUUAGGGAUAACUUACACCCCCGGGUAAAGCCAAUGUCAUGGCUGACGCACUAAGUUGUAAGUCUUAUUAUAACAAUCUGAUGUAACAACAAAGUCAACCACUUCCCCAUGAGGAAUUUUGGAAUCUAAACCUUCACAUUGUUCCUCAAGGAUUCCUUGCUACCUUGGUGGUGAAACCUAUCCUUGUGGAUCAAAUCCUAGAAGCCCAGAAGCAUGAUAUUGGGAUUUCUCGAAUUAAGAAGAAUAUUAACAGGGGAAAUGCUAAAUGCUUCUCGUUAGAUGAUCGGGGUGUUGUUUUCUUUGAGAAUCGCUUGGUUAUUCCCAAGAAACAACAUCUGCGGUAGUUGAUCCUUAAGGAGGCUCGUGAAUCUCCUCCAAUGAUUCAUCCUGGUAGUACCAAGAUGUAUCAGGACCUACGCGAGAGGUUCUGGUGGACUAGGAUGAAGAGAGAAAUUGCUCAGUUUGUUGCAACCUUCGAUGUUUGUCGUCGUGUGAAAGCAGAACAUCAAAGGUUUGCUGGCACCCUUCAACCUUUAGCUAUUCCUGAAUGGAAAUGGGAUAAAUUCGGUAUGGAUUUCAUCACCGGAUUUCCCAGGACUAAAAAAGGGAAUAAUGCUAUCUUUGUGGUCAUUGAUCGUCUUUCCAAAGUGGCUCAUUUUGUUCUUGUUCGAGGGAGUAUAACACCUAGCCAUCUAGCGAAGUUAUAUAUUUCCCGAAUAGUGUCUCUUCAUGGUGUUCCUUUGGAGAUUAACUCAUACCGUGGAAGUAUUUUUUACUUCUCGUUUCUCUGAAAGCUUCCAAAAUGCCAUGGGGACUCAUCUCUCCUUUAGCACUGCUUUCCAUCCUCACUUAAGUGGUCAAGUAGGAUGAGUCAAUCAAAUCUUGGAAGAUAUUCUUAGAUCUUGUGUUAUCUCUUUCGGCAUGAAUUGGGAGAAAUGCCUUCUGUUUGCCGAAUUUGCUUAUAACAAUAGUUAUCAAUCAAGCUUGGGCAAAGCUCCUUUUGAAGUUCUCUAUGGACGAAGGUGUCGACCACCUCUUAACUAGCCAAAAACGGGAGAGAGGCAAUUCUUUGGUCCGGAUAUGAUCCAGGAGGUAAAAGAGCAAGUUUGCAUUAUUUGUGAAAAGUUGAAAACAACCCAAUCUCGUCAAAAUAGCCAAUAUGAUCGCCAUCAUAAGGUUGUGACCUUUGAAGUUGAUGAGAAGGCUUACCUUCGGGUUACACCUCUGAAGGGUACCCAUCGAUUUAGUAUCAAGGGAAAAUUGGCUCCUCGUUACAUUGGUCCCUUUCGCAUUCUUGCCAAACAAGGAGAGGUUGCCUACCGGUUGGAACUUCCUCCGCACCUUUCCAAGGUUCAUGAUAUUUUCCACGUCUCACAACUAAGGCGUUGCUUCUUGGAUCCUAUUCGUGACGUGGACCAUGAAACGCUUGAUCUCUAGGAUAACCUUUCAUGUUGAGAAUACCCUGUUCGUAUUCUUGAUCAAGCUGAGCAUACCAAUCGACGUCGAAACAUCAAGUUUGUCAAGGUUCAGUGGUCAAAUCAUUCUAAAAAAUAAGCAACCUAGGAAAGGGAGGAUCGUUUCCGACUAGAGUACCCCACGCUCUUCCCGACGGCUUCUAAAUCUUGGGACGAGAUUCUUUUGAGUGGGGGUGAGUUGUAACAUCCCUAGUUUUCACUUGCAUUAUGCUAGCUAGAGUGUGCAUCAUGUUUAAUUUUUUGCUAAAUUGAAAUGGGGAUUAACAAAAACCAUAGCACCUCACCUAAUUAAAACAAUUCAAAUAGAUGUAAUUUUCAAAGAACCCAAAAUGGCCUUAAAAAUGUUCAUCUUUUCUCAUAAAUAUUGGAAACAAUAUUUUGGAGGUGCAUUGCAUUUUACACAUUCCUUUUGGCAUUUAAAAUAAUCCAACAAAGCUUCUAAAAAUGGCAAUUAAUGCACUAUAAUGAUUUUAGUUGCUCCAAAAUUGCUGAAACUUUUGUGAGAGUUUGAAAAUAUUCAAACUAUAUUUUAUAGAAUGCUUUAGUCAUUUCGUGCUAAUUAUUUUUGGCUAAAUAAAAAUAAAACAAAUAGUGAAACAGAAACAAAUAAGAAUAAAAAGGAAAAUGGGAGGCUCACCUGGGCCACUUACCCUCCAGUGGUGGCCCAACCCUCCCCGAGUCACCCCGUGUCGUCUUCUUGCUCUACAAGUAGGCAGAGGAGAAGGAGGCCACGGCGGGCUGACUGGGCGCCAUGCCGGCAGCUGCCUGGAUGCCUCCUCCAUCGCGCUGGCGAGGGGGAUAACCUCCAAAGAGCAUGCAUGGACCCAUCCCUCUCCCCAUUCGCCCCUUUCUUCUCUCCCAUGUCGCUGCUCUGCCAUGGCCGCCGCACCCGAGCGCUCGCUGUCGUAGCCUCGCCUCUCUAGCAGCUCUCCUCCACCUCCGUGUACUCAGAAGCACCGCCGUGUCCUACUGCUGCUCAUCGCCAAGAGAAUCGACGCCAGGAGCUCCCCAAUCGCCGCCCCGAGGUCAUCUUCAACCUCCGGCCACCGGAGUCGCCGCCGUCGAAUCAUCGUCAUCAGCUCGUCCCCGAGCAUGCUUUUAAUGGCUAUGAGACCACCGUGAUAUUGCGAACCCAUUCCCGCUCUUCCGAGGGUCGAUUGCUACUUUGCUAGCCAUAGUUGCUGAUUGCAGACAGGCCCGAAAAGCUCCGCUGAUUGCAGAGAGGCCCGAAAUGCCGGCGAUGCUCUGGUGCUCCUCCAGUCCAGUAGAUGGCACCAUUUCAUUUGUGAGGUUCCGUAGAUGCGGUAGGUGCCCAGAUCGAGCUUGCUUGCCCCCUGUGGCAUCGACCCCGAGCUCACCCGAGCUCCGUCAGCUGCAAGGCUUGCCGCCGCCGACCUUCUGGUCCACCCCAACCCCUGGGGCUGCUUUCAUUAGGUUCGCGGGCGAGAGGCCAUUCUGUAGAUGCUCUUCGUUGGCCAAAUGGUCGCCGGAGGAGGGAUUCCGAUCUCCUCCACCGUGUGUGGUGCCACCGGCGGCUCAACGCGGAUGAGCCUGACCUGUUUGACCACAGGGUUGACUCCCUAGGUCACUCGUAGGUGGGGCCUAGCCCCUAAUUAAAUUCGGAUUAGGAAUAAUUUAACUAAAUUAAUUAAUUAAUCUAAUCAUACAUUAAAAAUGGGCCUAGUCCCACUAAUUAGGAUUAAUGAUUAAAUUCUAAUCUGAGUUAGUGCAUGUGUCACUCACCAGUGGACCCCACUGGUCAAAUUUAACCUCGCAACACUCAUUUGACCUCGUGACCUCAUGUUGACGCAGUGGUAACGCAAUAAAUACUUUUUUGGUUUAAUUUAAUUCCAGAUUUAGGUUAAAACUUCUAAAAUUCAUAGAAAAUAAUGUGUAACUCAGAUUGAAAAUAAUUUAUAUAUGAAAAAAUUAUCACAAAAAAUCCAAGGAAUCCAUUGGUGCUAUUAUCAUGCAUGUUAGAACAAGUUAUACCUACUAAUCAGGUCAAAUUAAUUGAAGGUAUUUGAAUAUACCUUAUUUGAAGUGGAAUUUGAAUCUUUGAUUCAAACUAGCUUCAACCAAUUUGUUAAUAGGUGCAUUAGCUCAUCCAAAAUAUUCUUGUCAUGUCAUGAUCAUUCAUAAUAUUGUUGCACUUGCCGUGUAUUGAUUGUUACUUGUUUGCAUUGCGGUAGGCUCUACUCCACCCGAUACUUCCGAGUAUCAUAACGAAGAAGAGUUUCCCUGUGCUGAUCAUCAAGGCAAGCACCCCUUUUGAGCAUUUCGAUAAAAUCCCAUGUUCUCGCUCAUGAUCUCAUUUAUUGCUUCGAUAGUUGAACCCAUUCCUCUGCAUGACCUGUUAUUGUCAUAGUAAAUAUCUAAACCAUGCAACCUAGCAUACAUGGUAGUUGCUUGAGCCAUGAUGUGCCUUACCUUGCUAUGCUUGCUAUGCUUAGAGUUGUGUCAGGCCUGUUUCAUCUGGAUGAUGAACUGAAGUGAAUGAAAGUGUUCUUGUGACAAAAGUUAAGUGGUGAACCUGAUUUGGUAAAGCUUGUGUAGGAGUACAUGGCGGGUUGUCUCAUUGGAACCGUUCUUAGGAACUGAGUUCCGUGUAUGUGAUCCAAGAUUAGCUGCUACCAUACAUUGGGUUCAGAUAACUCGACCCCUCUCGGCUUAUUAGUCGCCUAGUACUCUGUCCAGGAGUUGCAAGUAGUUUCUCGUGUUUCUAGCUUAUGAUGGGGGCCGUGCAUAACGCUGACCUUAGAGGUGGGCUGUGACGCGGUAGGCAGUGGCACGGUGUACCAAGUGGCACCCGGAUGGUGGGCUUGGGAACCCUGCGCACAUCGUUUUAGGCCGUAGCGGAAACUUCGGCCGGACUUCCGCGCGGGUUCAGUCUCAAAUAGGCGAUAAACCUGGACUAGGUGUUAGUGUGGUUAACGUUCAUGGCUGACUGCCUCGCCAGGCUUCUGCUUGAAGGUUGCCGAGGUGCAGGAAGUGCAUAUAUUGAUAAGUGGCGAGAGCGUGUGUGAAGAAGUACACCCCUGCAGGGUUAUGAUCUAUUCGAAUAGCCGCGUCCUUGGAUAUGGACUACAAAACAUAUGUUGUUCAUAGAUAACUUUAUCGGCUACUCAUAAAAGUAUCAAGACAAGUGUGAGUAUAGUGGAUGACAUUCUCGUAGGGAGACGAGAAAGGAUCCACGGUUGUGUAUUGUCGUGGAGAUAGUGGACUCGUGUACGACUUCUCCAACUUGUUCAAAAGUACUCGUAGUCGUAGCAGAGGUUAGCCAAGAGUCAAAGGUGUAUUACUGCAUGAAACCCCACAACCCCCUUGUUGAUACAUGUGCAUGAGUAGAUAGAUCUGAUUUAAAGUCUUGUUGAGUACUUCCGUCCUCAUGUUUUCUUAAUAACUGUUGCAGACGACACCCACGAACCAUCAGGUGGGUUCUACCUAGACGUUGACGACGCCGAGUAGCUGGUGUCGGAGCUAUGAUCUCGCCCCUUCGGGAGGGAAUUGUAGAUAGUCAGGCUUUAUGCCUUUUACCUUUCAUUUGUCUGUACUCAGACAACUUUAAGAUUCCGCAUGGCUUGUAUGACUUUGUGUGUAUGACUUGAGUGUCGGGUCAUGUGACCCCUACCUGUAUGAACAUAUUAUGCAAGGAUCUUCUGAGCCUUCUAAAUAAAUAGUUGUGAUGUUGUAUGAUUAUGUUGUGAUGCCAUUGUUGUAUCUAUGCAUAUUGAAUAUGUCAUGCGUACGUGUGAUGUGCUGCAAUAUGUAUGGGGGUCGACACCUAGUUGUGUGCCUUUAGUAGUACUCUUUACACGGAAAUGCCCCUUUGUGCUUCCACUCAGCCUUGGUAGCUUGCUACUACUCCAAACACAUUGGUUGACCGGCAUGUAUCCUUUCUUACUGCUGUGUACGUAAUGGUGUGUUUGAACAUCGUAAUUGUACUUUAUUGGAUAUGGUGCAUUCUAUGAUGUCUCUUACCGAUUUGCCACUAUCGUUUUGGUGUUACGCAUUAGAGACAACUGCAUUCACUUUAAAUAGGGCAUUCUCAAAAUCCGUUGAGACGGAACCAUAUGAAUUAUGGUUUGGCAAGAAACCUAAGCUGUCAUUUCUUAAAGUUAGGGGAUGUGACACUUACAUCAAAAGGCUUCAUCCUGAUAAGCUAAAAUCCAAGGCGGAGAAGUAUGUCAUAGGAUACCCAAAGGAAAUAGUUGGGUAUAUCUUCUAUCUCAGAUCCGAAGGCAAAGUGUUUGUUGCUAAGAAUGGGUCCUUUCUACAGAAAGAGUUUCUCUCGAAACUAUUUAGUGGGAGGAAGGUAGAACUUCAUGAGGUUAUUGAACCGUCACUUCCAUUAGAGAGUAGUAGAACAUAGGAAGAUGUUUCUGUGACGCCUACAUGAGUUGAAGAAGAAACUUAUGAUGGGGAUCAUGAAGCUUUAGAUCAAGUUACUACCUAACCUCAUAGGUCGACAAGGACACAUACUGCUCCUGAGUGGUAUGGUAAUCCUAUCUUAGAGGUCAUGUUGUUAGAAAACAAUGAACCUAUGAGGUAUGGAGAAGCGAUGGUGGGCCCGGAUUCCAACAAAUGGCUAGAGGCCAUGAAAUUCGAGAUAGGAUCCAUGUACGAAAACAAAGUAUGGUCUUUGGAAGUAUUACCUGAUGGUCGCAAGGCUAUUCAGAAAAAAUGGAUCUUUAAUAGGAAGACAGACGCGAACGGUAAUGUCACCGUCUAUAAAGCUCGACUUGUUGCAAAGGGGUUUUCAAAAGUUUAAGGAGUUGACUAUGAUGAGACUUUCUCGCCUGUAGCGAUGCUUAAGUUCGUCAGAAUCAUAUUAGCAAUAACUGCAUUUUUUGAUUAUGAAAUCUAGCAGAUGAAUGUCAAAACAGUGAUCCUUAAUGGGUUCCUUAAGGAAGAGUUGUAUACUAUACAACCGGAAGGUUUUGUUGAUCCAGAAAAUGCUGACAAAGUAUGGAAGCUCAAGUGAUCCAUUUAUGGACUAGUGUAAGCAUCUUAGAGUUGGAAUCUUUGCUUUGAUGAGGUGAUCAAACCGUUUGGGUUUAUACAAGUCUAUGGAGAAGCUUGUAUUUACAAGGAAGUGAGUGGGAUCUCUAUAGUGUUUCUAAUAAUAUAUGUUGAUAACAUAUUGCUGAUUGGAAACAAUAUGAAACUUUUGGAAAGCGUAAAGAUAUAUUUGAACAAGAUUUUUUCAAUGAAAGACCUCAUAGAAGCUGCUUACAUAUUAGGCAUCAAGAUUUAUAGAUAUAGAUCGAUAUGCUUAAUAGGAUUUUCACAAAGCACAUACCUUGAUAAGGUUUUGAAGAAGUUCAAAAUGGAUCAGUCCAAGAUGGGGUUCUUGCCUGUCCUGCAAGGUGUGAAGUUGAGUAAGACUCAAUGGCGAGCGACUACAGAUGAUAGAGAAAAGAUGAGUGUCAUCCCCUAUGCCUCGGCCAUAGUAUCUAUCAUUUAUGCAAUGCUAUGCAUAAGUCCAGAUGUUAGCCUUGCCAUAAGUAUGGCCGAAAGGUUUCAAAGUGAUCCAGGAGUAGAACACUUUACAAUGGUCAAGAAUAUCCUGAAGUACCCGAAAAGGACCAAGGAGAUGAUUCUCGUUUAUGGAGGUGAUCAAGAGCUCAUUGUAAAGGGUUACGUCGAUGCUUACUUUGACACAGAUCCAGAUGACUCUAACUCUCAAACCAUAUACAUAUUUAUUCUGAAUGGUGGAGCGAUAAGCUGGUGCAAUUCAAAGCAAAUCAUGGCAGAUGAUUCUACAUGUGAAGAUGAGUACAUAGCUGCUUCGGAAGCAUCAAAGGAAGGUGUCUGGAUGAAGUAGUUCAUGACGGAUCUUGGAGUUGUGUCUAGUGCACUGGAUCCAAUGACCCUCUUUUGUGACAACACUAGUGUCAUUGCUCUAGCCAAGGAACCUAGGUUUCACAAAAGAACCAGACACAUAAAGUGUUGCUUCAAUUCCAUCCAUGAUUAUAUCAAGGAGGAGGACAUAAAUAUUUGCAAAGUGCAUACAGAUCUGAAUGUUGCAGACCCGUUGACUAAACCCCUUCCAUGAGUAAAACAUGAUCAUCACUAGAAUUCUAUGGGUGUUAGAUUCAUUACCACGUAAUACUAGAUUACUGACUCUAGUGCAAGUGGGAGGCUGUUGGAAAUAUGCCCUAGAGGCAAUAAUAAAUUGGUUAUUAUCAUAUUUCCUUGUUCAUGACAAUCCUUUACUAUCCAUGAUAUAAUUGUAUUCAUUGGAAACUCAAAUACAUGUGCGGAUACAUAGAGAACACUGUGUCCCUAGUGAGCCAUUACUAGACUAACUUGUUGGUAAAAGAUGCUUAAGGUUUCCUAUCCAUAGACAUGAGUUAUCUUUGAUAAUGGGAUCACAUCAUUAGGAGAAUGAUGUGAUGGACAAGACCCAAACUGUAAGCAUAGCAUUUGAUUGUAUCGCUAAGUUUAUUGCUAUUGCUUUCUCCAUGUCAAAGUAUGUGUUCCUAAGACCAUGAGAUCAUUCAACUCCGUGACUCCACGGGAAUGUGUUCUGUGUAUCAAACAUCACAACGUAACCGGGUGCUUUUAAAGAUGCUCUACAGGUAUCUCCGAGGGUGUUUGUUGGUUUGGCAUGGAUCAAGACUGGGAUUUGUCACUCCAUAUGACAGAGAGGUAUCUUUGGGACCACUCGGUAAUAGAGCAUCACAAGAAUCUUGCAAGCAAUGUGACUAAGGAGUUAGUCGCAGGAUCUUGUAUUGUAGAACGAGUAAAGAGACUUGCUAGUAACGAGAUUGAACUAGCUAUGGAGAUACCGACAAUCGAAUCUCGGGCAAGUAACAUACCGAUGUACAAAGGGAACUGCAUACGGGAUUGAUUGAAUCCUUGACAUCGUGGUUCGACUGAUAAAGAUCUUCGUAGAAUAUGUAGGAACCAAUAUGUGCAUCUAGGUCCCAAUGUUGGUUAUUGACCGUAAAGGUGUCUCGGUCAUGUGUGCAUAGUUCUCGAACCCGUAGGGUCCACACGCUUAACGUUUGAUGACGAUAUAGUAUUGUUGAGUUAUAUAUGUUGGUGGCUGAAGGUUGUUAGGGGUCCUAGAUGAGAUCCCAGACAUGACGAGCAGCUUCGGAAUGGUUCAUAGGUAAUGAUUGAUAUAUGGGAACUUGAUAUUUGAGUUCAGAAAAGGUUGUGGGACUUACCGGUUUUGUGAAGGAGUUGCAGAAUUGUUUUGUGUGCCCAUUGGGAGGGUGGACCUGUCCCGGAGGGCCCCAUGGCUAUGAGAGGUGGCACACCAGCCCGUGAUGGGUUGGCCGCCCCUCCCCACCUAAGGCCCAUGCGGCCAAGGGCUAGGGCUGGCCCAAGGGUGGCCGCCGUCCCCUUCCUUGGGAGCCAAGGCAGCCCCUUGGCCGCCGCCCACACCCCUGGGGAAACCCUAGGGUCGGCUAUAACGUCCAAGAUGCGGUCCUAUCCUUAAUUUGGCGUGAGGGCCUCGACAGGGAUAUAAACGCAUCUCAUCGUUUCGCAAGAAUGGAUAUCGUUACAAGUAUAUGUACUGAAAAGAUGAGUAUAUGGAUAUGGCUUACACUCGCCACAAACUACAUCAAUAUCACAUCAAUAUAGCAGUAUACAGUCAUCAUGAAGAAGAGCAGGGUCCGACUAUGGAUGAAAACAAAUGGUAAAAGAAUGAUCUCCAUUCUUGCUAUCCCAGGCCACCGGCCUGGAACCCGUCCUAGAUCGAUGACGAGGAGGAAGAAGAAGCAAUUCCAAAUAGCACAAUCAUCGCGCUCACGUCAUAAUAUCACUUUACCUGUACCCGCAACUGGUGUUGUAGUAACCCGUGAGCCACAUGGACUCAACAAUCUCAUUUCCGAAGGUAUCAAGAGUAGCAAAGUUUAAUGGGUGAGGCAUGGUUAAGUGGUGAGGCUGCAGCAAGCGACUAAGCAUAUAUUUGAGGUGGCUAACUUACGAGUACCAGAAUAAGAGGGGGAUGAUCUACGAAUAAUCAGAGGUGAACUAAUGAUGAUCAAAUGAAUGAUCCCGAACACCUACUUAUGUCAGACAUAACCCCACCGUGUCCUCGACGGAGAAGGAGCUCACGAAAGAGACAGUCACGGUUACGCACUCAGUUGGGACAUUUGAAAUAAGCUUACUUGAAGUUAUCUAGAACGAGAUGUUAAACAAAAUUUCCAAGUUGCCACAUAACCAUGGGCACGGCUUUCCAAAAGCUUUAACCCUGAAGGGGUGCUCCAACUAGUCCAUUACAAAUUACCACAAGUCGCAUAGGAAGCCUUGAUCACGAAACUCGUGAUCUUCUCGGAUUCCUUAGUGGGAAACCUCAAUAUAGGUCCAUUAAAUUAAUUAGUACUUAUAUGGUGAUAUAACAAGCCUUCCAUCUUUUUCCAAGUAUAUAGGUCCAUUAAAUUAAUUAGCAGUUAUAUGGUGAUAUAACAAGGAACCAUGUUAUCACAUGGAAGCAACUACACCUGCAACUAGCAAUGCUAUCCAAUGGUUAAGCAAGCAGUAACAUAGACAAUCAGUGGUUUGCUAGGUUGUACAAAGGUUGAAGGUUUUCAUGGCAAUGUUUGUUGGAAAUAUGCCCUAGAGGCAAUAAUAAAUUAGUUAUUAUUAUAUUUCUUAGUUCAUGAUAAUCGUUUAUUAUCCAUGCUAUAAUUGUAUUGAUUGGAAACACAAUACUUGUGUGGAUACAUAGACAAAACACUGUCCCUAGUAAGCCUCUAGUUGACUAGCUCGUUAAUCAAAGAUGGUCAAGGUUUCCUGGCCAUAGGCAAGUGUUGUCACUUGAUAACGGGAUCACAUCAUUAGGAGAAUCAUGUGAUGGACUAGACCCAAACUAAUAGACGUAGCAUGUUGAUCGUGUCAUUUUGUUGCUACUGUUUUCUGCGUGUCAAGUAUUUAUUCCUAUGACCAUGAGAUCAUAUAACUCACUGACACCGGAGGAAUGCUUUGUGUGUAUCAAACGUCGCAACGUAACUGGGUGACUAUAAAGAUGCUCUACAGGUAUCUCCGAAGGUGUUAGUUGAGUUAGUAUGGAUCAAGACUGGGAUUUGUCACUCCGUGUGAACGGAGAGGUAUCUCGGGGCCCACUCGGUAAUACAACAUCACACACAAGCCUUGCAAGCAAUGUAACUUAAUGUAAGUUGCGGGAUCUUGUAUUACGGAACGAGUAAAGAGACUUGCCGGUAAACGAGAUUGAAAUAGGUAUGCGGAUACUAACGAUCGAAUCUCGGGCAAGUAACAUACCGAAGGACAAAAGGAAUGACAUACGGGAUUAUAUGAAUCCUUGGCACUGAGGUUCAAACGAUAAGAUCUUCGUAGAAUAUGUAGGAUCCAAUAUGGGCAUCCAGGUCCCGCUAUUGGAUAUUGACCGAGGAGUCUCUCGGGUCAUGUCUACAUAGUUCUCGAACCCGCAGGGUCUGCACACUUAAGGUUCGACGUUGUUUUAUGCGUAUUUGAGUUAUAUGGUUGGUUACCGAAUGUUGUUCGGAGUCCCGGAUGAGAUCACGGACGUCACGAGGGUUUCCGGAAUGGUCCGAAAACGAAGAUUGAUAUAUAGGAUGACCUCAUUUGGUUACCGGAAGGUUUUCGUGCAUUACCGGAAAAGUUUCGGGCUCAUCGGUAGUGUACCGGGAGUGCCGGGAGGGGUGCCGGGGACCAUCGGGAGGGGUGUCACGCCCCAAGGGGUCUCAUGGGCUAUGGGAAGAGAUAAACCAGCCCCUAGUGGGCUGGAAUAAGUUCCCACUAAGGCCCAUAAGGUUUGAGAAGGAAAAAACACAAGGUGGAAAGAGUUUCCAAGUGGGAAGGUGGAAUCCUACUCCAAGUAGGAUUGGAGUAGGACUCCUCCACCUCCAAUUUCGGCCAAACCUUUAGGUUUUGAGGCUGCCUCCUCCCCUCCCUCCCACCUAUAUAUACGGAGGUUUUAGGGCUGAUUUGAGACGACUUUCUCACGGCUGCCCGACCACAUACCUCCAUAGUUUUUCCUCUAGAUCGUGUUCCUGCGGAGCUCGGGCGGAGCCCUGCUGAGACAAGAUCAUCACCAACCUCCGGAGCACCGUCACGCUGCUGGAGAACUCUUCUACCUCUCCGUCUCUCUUGUUGGAUCAAGAAGGCCGAGAUCAUCGUCGAGCUGUACGUGUGCUGAACGCGGAGGUGCCGUCCGUUCGGUACUAGAUCGUGGGACUGAUCGCGGGAUUGUUCGCGGGGCGGAUCGAGGGACGUGAGGACGUUCCACUACAUCAACCGCGAUCUCUAAUCGCUUCUGCUGUACGAUCUACAAGGGUACGUAGAUCACUCAUCCCCUCUCGUAGAUGGACAUCACCAUGAUAGGUCUUCGUGCGCGUAGGAAAUUUUUGUUUCCCUUGCAACGUUCCCCAACAAUGUUGAGAGGCUUAUUAAACAGGUGGUAGGCAUCGAUACAUAGCGAUAGAAACGGAACAACUAGCAUGGCAAUGAUAGUAAAUGUAUCAAGGGAAAUGAUCAUCUUGCCCAUGAUCUCGCUUGGUAGAAGAACGAAUCGGUGAAGCAGACGAACCGACGUAGUCGAACGGAUCAUCAUAUUCCGGCACGCUUGCGGAACUCUAUCGAGAAGAAGCAAACGGGACAACAAUCAACACACGAUAUUCACCAUGGCACAUGCAUGAUAUGAUGCACAACACACAUGAUCCAUGAUCGAUUCAAUUAUGCAAGGUGCGACACGACAAUUCACAACAAUCAAACACUACACGUUAAGUGAAGCUCAAUAUACAACGAGUUGCAUAUUGACGAAAAUCUACAUUUAAAUAUUUAGCUCACUCUCAUUUAGGUACACGACAAUAUUAAAUGUUGUUAAACAUGGAAAGAGGUGAAUCAUAAUUAAACUAGCUAUCUAGGCAUUUUAAAUGAGGCCGGAAACACCAUAUAGCAUCUCCGAACUUACCUCACACGUGAGCUUAGAAAUCUGUCCAGAUCUGUCCUAAACAUAUUUUUAGUUUGUUAAACGGAAAAACAAGGUGGUUCACGUGAAACUACACAUGAUUAUGGUCGGUUUACAUAUAUAGCUCAUCUCCAACGGAGCUACGGUUAACUAGCUACGAAGUAAAUCGUUUUAACACAUUAUCACGCAAACCAAUGCAAACAACACGUUAAACAGUUAUAAAUAUGCAUGAGAGUUGGAAAAUAUUAAAUUAUGCAAAAUUCUAACCAUUUUACAUAUAUAAGUCAUCCUGAUCCGACGCACAUUUUAAAAGCUACGGGCGUUUUAAAAUAAUGCUAUUUUUCUGAAAUCCCUGGUUAUAUCUAAAUUCGUCCACCGGGAAAAAAUUAACAUGGGCCGAAUCUGGUAAUAGGCACAACCAGACACUGAGCGUUGGAUAGCUGAACUGUGCACGGGCAAGACAUAGCAUGACUGGGGGGGUGCUCACCACAGGGCCACACGGGCCAGCUGAGGGGGAAGGAGGCGCGUGGGCCGUGGGAGGCCGAGCUGGGCCGGCGUAGUGAGGUGGCCCAUGCAACUGGCUCAGGAGGCUAGCGAGCGGGCGGUCGAGGCAUGGCGUCCCGAUGCUCACGCGGGCGAUGGCGCUCAAGGAACACGGCGGCAAGGCGAGGGGGUCCGACGGAGGUUGGAUCCGGCUAGAUCCGACAGGGUUGGAGCUCCGGUGGCCGGCACCAGCUUCCGUGCAGGAGCUCGCCAUGGAGCUCGGGCAAGCUCGUGCUUGACCAUGCAAAGGAUAGAGAAGCAGGGAGGUUAGGGAGAGAGAGAAGGAAGAGAAGGAAGGAUAGGAAAGAAGAAGGUCCGGUGAGUUGCUCCGGUGACUAGAAGGGGCGACGCGGAGGUCCGGCGACGGGGGUGUGGGGCGCAUGCUGGUGGAGGAGCGAGGCAUGGGCUCGGGAGCUCGGGCGGCAGCACGGUUGGCUGGCUCGGGCUCCGGAUGGGCUCUGGUGGGCCAGAUCCGGGCCUGAGCGGGCCUGGCGGCUGGGAGGAGAGAGGAGGUGGGAGAGAGCUCCGGUUAGGGUUAAGGUUAGCACAUAUUUUGAGGAGAGGUCGGAUCUGGGUGUCUACUUAUAGACACGGGUUAAAGUUAGGGUUUUUUAGUCCCGAUUUCGACCGUAGGAUCGCAAAUGGACGGUGCCGGCGGCGCCCUAGAGUUAGGUGGUUGUGUUAGAGAGGCUAGGUGGGGAAGAGAGGUAAGUUGCAGCCCGGAAACGAGAAUUUUAAACACAAAAAAAAACGAACCGACGAUACACCAAUGACGGUGCCUCUACGGUCAACCUUUCGGCUAUGAAACGAACUACGAUUACGACGAAAUUUGGCAAGCGGCCUACCUAUAUUAAAAUAAGACCGCAUGCCAAGUUUCAACCCAAUCCGAGAAUAUUUUUUGGACACUUGUAAAAACAAUAUUUUUAAUGAUGCCACGGGCACGUACAUGUGUGGUUGGUCUUGAAACGGUCAACGACAAUAACGGAGAGAACCGGCAACUAAUAAGAGAUACAGGUUUUGAAAACUGGCGGCAUCGGAGUGCCGAUGCAAUGCGGAUGAUGCGAAUGAUGCGAUGAUGAAUGAGACAAACAACUAAACCACACGACGACAAUGGACUAAAAGGGGAAUCUUCUGGAGCAUCGGACUCGGGGUGUUACAACUCUUCUACACUAACAAGAGAUCUCGCCCUGAGAUCUAAGAAUGAAAAGGGGAAGAGAUAGGCAAAAGGAAGAGGUAAAACUUAGUUUCUUCUUUGACAAAAGAGUGAAACCAAUGAAUCUUGAAGGUUGCAAAGAUAUGAAGAAUGACAUGAGGAACAAUCAAGAAUUGAAACAAAAAUUUGGCAGGACUUCGGUAGAAAAAGAGGACGAAAUUCGAUAAGAUGGAAAGAUCUUGACAAGAUUCACAACAAACCAACUAAUAACAAGAUGAUAGAUUGAAGAGAGCAACAUCACAACAACUCCGGAAAAAGAGAAUAGAAACUAGAUCAUUGGGAAGGAAAGAAGGGAUAAGAAAUGACAACUACUACCAUAAUUGAAUUUGGCAAGCAUCCUUGCAAGAAGAACGGAACGAAGUUGUUGUAAAACCAACAACGAAAAAACAAGCUUGUAGUGGACUUAUGAAAACCAUCCCAAAAUAAUGAGGUGACAACCAGCCACUUACAGAAAGAAGGAUUCAUUGGAUACAACAAGAAAGGCAAAACUUCUUACACCAAGAGGAUAUAUUGAGAACUUGGAUCAACGAUAAUCACCAUAAUAGCCGCAAUCCUUAGAAAAAACUUUAGUUGAAAUCUAAUCCAAGAUAACUCAAUGAAGAAACCAUGGGUUAAAAUAACUCAUGAUGAAGGAAUUGGUGGAUUUAAAGAUCUCAUUCUUGAAACAAAUUCUCUUCAAGACUCCUCCACUAACAAGAAUGCUAUAAUACCACCACAAAGGAUAAAGGAGGAAGACUUGCUCUUUGGAAUGCAAGAGAUAGAAUACUUGAGGUACUACCACAAGAAUCUUGAAGAACACCUUGAGAAUGAAGAGACCAUGAUUCGCCUAACAGAAACUUAAACAAGGCACUCGAAUAAUUGAGAGACGAACGAAGAGACAACAAUUGAGAAGAUUUUGAGGAUGAAAGCUGAAUGCUAAGAAUGAAGAAAUCUCCCAAAAUGAUGGACUUUGGAGGAUAGAGAAUGAAAACAAAUCUGAAAUGUACUGGAUAGAUAUGGAAGGAAUUACUCAUGAGUGGAAACAAUUGAGAAUAUAACACGAAGCUGAGAUGACAAUCUUCAAAAGAAUGGACAAGAUUUAAGAGAAACACUUCUUCAAUCUUCACAAGCUAAGAGCGAUGGCCAGAAUCUCCAACAAGAAUUACUGAGACACUCCGGAAUGAUGAUUAAGAAAAGGUUGAGCCAAUGAUGAAAAUAUAUUUGAAGCGAUCUUGGAGAAAAACUAUUUCCGAUGAAAAUCAUACUUACGUCAUAUAUGAAAAGAGCUUGAGAUAUCUGGGUUAUGGGUGUUGGGUAACGUAGCAUAAAUUCAAAAUUUUCCUACGCAUGUUCAGAUCUUCCUAUGGAGAAACCAGCAACGAGAGAGGGGUAAGAGCAUAUUCGUACCUUUGAAGAUCGCUAAGCGGAAGCGUUGCUAGAACGCGGUUGAUGGAGUCGUACUCGCAGCGAUUUUGAUCUAGUGCCGAACAACGGCACCUCCGCGUUCAACACACGUGCAGCCCGGUGACGUCUCCCGCACCUUGAUCCAGCAAGGAGGAGGGAGAGGUUGGGGAAGAAGUCCAGCAACACGACGGCGUGGUGUUGGUGGAGAGACGAGGUCUCCCGGUAGGGCUUCGCCAAGCGCCGGCAGAGAGGAGGAGGAAGAAGUGCAGGGCUGCGCCGAGGGAGAGGGAAAACCGUGUCCUCCAAAGGCCAAAAGUGCCCACUAUAUAUAGGGGAAGGGGAGAGGGGGUGCCACCCCUAGGGUUCCCACCCUAGGGGGUGCGGCAGCCCUCCCAGAGUGGGGGGUGGUGGCGGCCAGAUGGGGGAGGAGGGGGUGGCGCACCCCUCUGGUGGGCCUAAGGCCCACCUAAGUUAGGGUUCCCCCCUCUCCCCCUUUUUCUGGUGCACAUGGGCUGGGUGAGGGGCGCACCAGCCCACCUAGGGGCUGGUUACCUUCCCCACUUAGCCCAUCUAGCCUGCCGGGGUCGUCACCCCCCUUCGGUGGUCCCCCGGGACCACCUCCGGUGGUCCCGGUGGUCCCUGUACGUUACCGGUGAUGCCCGAAACACUUCCGGUGUCCGAAACCAUCCGUACUAUAUAUCAAUCUUUACCUGCGGACUAUUCCGGAGCUCCUCGUGACGUCCGGGAUCUCAUCCGGGACUCCGAACAACUUUCGGUAAUCUCCUAUUACAAUUCCCUAUAACCCUAGCGUCAUCGAACCUUAAGUGUGUAGACCCUACGGGUUCGGGAGACAGGCAGACAUGACCGAGACACCUCUCGGGCCAAUAACCAUCAGCGGGGUCUGGAUACCCAUGGUGGCUCCCACUAGCUCCACGAUGAUCUCAUCGGAUGAACCACGAUGUCAAGGAUUCAAUCAAUCCCGUAUACGAUUCCCUUUGUCUGUCGGUAUAGAACUUGCCCGAGAUUCGAUCGUCGGUAUACCUAUACCUUGUUCAAUCUCGUUACCGGUAAGUCUCUUUACUCGUUCCGUAGCACGUCAUCGUGUGACUAACUCCUUAGUCACAUUGAGCUCAUGAUGAUGUUCUACCGAGUGGGCCCAGAGAUACCUCUCCGUCACACGGAGUGACAAAUCCCGAUCUCGAUUCGUGCCAACCCAACAGACACUUUCGGAGGUACCCGUAGUGCACCUUUAUAGCCACCCAGUUACGUUGUGACGUUUGAUACACCCAAAGCACUCCUACGGUAUCCGGGAGUUGCACAAUCUCACAGUCGAAGGAAAAGAUACUUGACAUUAGAAAAGCAUUAGCAUACGAACAAUACGAUCUAGUGCUAGGCUUAGGAUUGGGUCUUGUCCAUCACAUCAUUCUCCCAAUGAUGUGAUCCCGUUAUCAACGACAUCUAAUGCCCAUGAUCAGGAAACCAUGAUCAUCUAUUGACUAACGAGCUAGCCAACUAGAGGCUUGCUAGGGACACAUUGUGAUCUAUUCAUUCACACAUGUAUUACUGUUUCCUGUUAAUACAAUUAUAGCAUGAACGAUAGAUGAUUAUCAUGAACAAGGAAAUAUGAUAAUAACCAUUUUAUUAUUGCCUCUAGGGCAUAUUUCCAACAAUGGGCCCACUAAAAGAAGACACCAUUGAAACUAUUGAUUAGGAAGAGAGAUAUUGUACCGGUAUAAGAAAACUUGAUGAGGUGAGAACCUUGAAAUAAUUGAAAGGAUUGAAUACAGGAAGCUUCUGAGAUAUGUUGAAACUCCGGAUAGGACAAAGAGUUAAAAAAACAAGGACUUGAGUAAGAAUUUCCAACAUAGGAAUCAUUGAACAGAAGAAAAGGAUAUGAUGAACACCGAAAUCUUGAAUCGAAUCCACCGGAAAAGAGAACAGGAAUGAAAAAAAUAGAUGAACAUAGAACUCCUGAGAAUCUUCACAAUGAAUCACCGGAUAGAACACAAAAGAGAAGAUAGCGAAAGCAUCAUGAAAAUAAAUGCACUUGGAUGAAAUCCAAUCACUGAAGAAAAUGGCGGGAGGGCGGGGAAAACAAGACAAUUUGGGGCAGAUGAGACAAACUCCACAAUGAAAUGAGAGAUUGAUCUUGCAAAAUUGGAGAGGAUUGAAUUAUUUUGAAGAGAAGCACACCGGUUGAAAAUAAUUGACAUGACGACUCUGGUUGGCAAGAAUUGAUAAGAGAAUUUGAUUGAGCAAAAGAAUUAGCAUUCCCAUAAAAAUAUGAGAACACCACUUAGGAAAGAUAAGAAAUUACUACUUGACAUCGAAGCAACUCGAAUUACCAUAGUACAACAAAACAACAGAUGCGGCUUAUGAAACAAGCCAGAACAAAUUCAUGACAGAGAUCUCGUCCGAUAUUUUCGUUGAUAGGAUCGCACGGGCUCUAUCCUACAGUAGCCAUCAUGUACAUGGCAGUGCACACGACAUACGAAGCAUCUCUGAGUCGUAGCAAGCUACAAGGACUCUUUAAGACACAACGAGAACCAGUGAAGAUGACCGCGAACAAACGAAUCCACUAGAUGUCGAACACCAACCUCACAUCAUGCAUCUGUUGGAAGAUUGUCCUAUAAGUAACUACUUGAAUUCCUACCUAAGAACUUCCGAAAUUUCUGGUCAUGCAAUCAGGUCCACGGAUACAAGGAGAAAUUUAUCACUCAACUCCUAGCAUCUAACCCGUCUAGUGUAUCACAUCCGUCAACACAUAACCAGAAUUUCAGAACCUCAUCUAUCUCAGACCCUCGUAAUCACAAUGAUACUCAGUAUGGCGGUACAUCCAGACCUAUUUGCACAAGUACUGGGGAAGCCAGAGUCCUCUCGCCACUACUAGUAUUGAAGCAAUUUCGAAGAUCCUUCGUCCUGAGAUACUGAGAAAUCUGAAUGAUAACGAUGUGCUCAAUAAUCCCCUGGAGCUCAACUCCCCGGAAGAAAUCAAGUCAGAUGGGAGGCACCAAGACAGAACUCGGUCACAUCGACAUCAUAUAGAUGCCAAAAAUAUCCGCGUGAUCCUAAAAAAAUUGAGUGAGAAGAGGAGUAGAAUUAAAAUUAGAAGUGGAGAAAAAUGAAUCCUACUCUGCGAUAUAUAACUAGACUCAAAGCAAUUUUUCACUAGACUCGACUCGGCCAAGUUCAAUCAAUGAAGGGGGCUCCUAGGUCCGUACUGCUCUGAUACUAACUUGUAGCGUCCAAGAUACAGUCCUAUCCAUAUUUUCGUGCGAGGGCCUCGACAGGGAUAGAAAUGCAUCUCAUCGUUUCACAAGAAUGGAUAUCGUUACAAGUACAUGUAACUAAAAAGAUGAGUAUAAGGAGUUGGCUUACACUCUCCACAAGCUACAUCAAUAUCACAUCAAUACAACAGUAUACAGUAAUCAUGAAGAAGAGUAGGGUCCGACUAUGGACAAAAACAAAUGAUAAAAGAACGACGUCCAUCCUUGCUAUCCCAGGCUGCCAGAGUGGAACCCAUCCUAGAUCGAUGAUGAUGAAGAAGAAGAAGCGAAUCCAAAUAGCACAAUCAUCGCGCUCACGUCAUAAUAUCACUUUACCCAUACCUGCAACUGGUGUUGUAGUAAUCUGUGAGCCAUAGGGACUCAGCAAUCUCAUUUCCAAAGGUAUCAAGACUAGCAAAGCUUAAUGGGUGAAGUAUGGUUAACUAGUGAGGCUGCAUCAAGCGACCAAGCAUUUAUUUGAGGUGGCUAAUGUCGGGACCCCGAUCCUAAGCCAUAGGAAUCCAUCUUGUAACACAUCGCAUCUCUUUGCGGUCUCACGCACGGUUAUCCCCACGGCUGCAGCCUUACCUUAGCCGGGACCGUUUGCGCCUUUUGACUCGCGUAUGCAAUUGUGUCGCUAGCAAUCCAAUGACAAAGAACCCGGAUCGACAUGUCUAGUCAUAAACCAAAGUGGCAGUUCCGCACAGGGACACACAUACAUGACCCAGCAAAGCAGGUGUCGGUCACCAGCAAAUGUAGACGAGUCGUAGCAAGCUACAUGGCCUCCAUUACAUCGCGUGACAUUUCCCCAAAGGGGACAGACACAUCAGCUAAGAAGGACACAUGCCGGUCAACCAAUGUGUCCGGAGCAGUAGCGAACUACCAUGGCUCGUUGGAUCACAAAGGGGCAUUUCCCUGUAAGGAAUGCUACUAAAGCCUACGGCUAGGUAAUCAAACCCCAUACAUAUCAAGUACAACACACGUACGCAUGGCAUACCGAUAUGUAUAGAUACAUCGAUGGCAUCACAACAUAACCAUAAACAUACAAGCUUUAUUUAGAAGGCUCGAAAGAGCCACACACAUAAUAUUACAAGUAUGGGUCUCACGACCCAUCAUCACAAGUCAUACACACAAUUCUUACAAGCCAGCGGAAGAUUUAAAGCUGUCUGAGUACAGACAGAGGAAAAGAUAAAGGCACAUGGCCUGACUAUCUACAUACCCACCCUAGGGCCACACCGUAGCUGGGAUACCAGCUACUCGUCGUCGUCGAUGUCUAGAUAUAACCCUCCAUUAGGGUCAUUAACAACCUCUGCAACAAAUUAUUAAGAAAACGUGAGUACGGAGGUACUCAGCAAGACUUUAGGAUAACUAUCUACUCAUGCAAUGUAUCAAUAAGGAGUUGUGGGGUUUCAUGCGGAAAGCCAACAUUUGAUUCGUGGCUAGACAACUUGCAUUUUUAAAUAAUUUUGACAACUUGAUUUCUCGCACACGAGUCCACUAACACCACAACAAUACUCCAUCGUGGAAUCAUUCCGUCUCCAUACGGAAAUGCCGUCCACGACACUCACGCUUAUCUUGACAAUUUUAGGAGUAGCCAUUAAAGUUAUCUAUGAACAACAUAUGUCUCCAAGUAGUCCAUAUCCGCGGACGCGGCUAUUCGAAUAGAUCAUAACCUUGCAGGGGUGUACUUCUUCACACAUGCUCUCGCCACUUAUCGCCAUGUGCACGUCAUGCACCUCGGCAACCUUCAAGCGGAAGCACAGCGAGGGAGUCGGCCACGACCGUUAACAUCGCUAAUACUUAGUCCAGGUCUAUCGCCUAUCUGAGGGUAACCUGCACGGAAGUCCGGCCGAGGUUUCCGCGACGUCCCCAAACGAUGUGCGCAGGGUUCCCAAGCCCACCAUCUGGGUGCUACUUGGUACACCGUGCCACUGCCUACCACAUCAUAUCCCACCUCUAAGGUCAGCGCUACGCAUGGCCUCCAGCAUGACUAUAAACACCAGAAACUAUUUGCAACUCCUGGACCGAGUACCAAGCAAUUAAUAAGUCAAGCGGGGUCAUAUUUCAGGGCCCAGCAUGUGGUAGUAUCUCGUCUUGGAUUACAUACACGGAACUCAGUUCCUAAGGACGGUUCCAAUGAAACAACCCGCCAUGUACUCCUACAUAGCCUUUCACCGGUACCUUUACCAAAUCAAGUUCAACACACAACCUUUGCUCACCGAACACAUUCCACAUUUCUGUUCAUCUCCCAGAUGACAGACCAUACACAACUCUAAGCAUAGCAUGCAUAGCAGGAUAAGGCACAUCAUAGCUCAAGCAACUACCAGGUAUGCUAGGUUKCAAGGUUCGGCUAUUUACUGUGACAAAGUUAGGUCAUGCAAAGGAAGUGGGUUCAACUAACGUGGCAAAAACAGUUGAAGCAUUUGAUCCUAAUGCAAUAAUUAAGUGCAGAAGCAAGAACAUGGGAAUUAUCGGAAUGAUCAAAGGGGUUGCUUGCCUUGUUGCUCAGAGGAGGAACGAUAUCCGUCAGACGGAUAUUCGGUGGAAUCCGGGGUUGCGGAGCCUACCGAAAUAAAUGGCAACAUUCAAUAACAAUCAUAUGCAAUCAAAAUGAUGCAUGAGCAUGGCAUGAGAAUGCAAGGUGAUAAGUUAUUAUAAUCAACAUGUAUUAGGUUUAGAGUUGUUGAUUUGAAUCAUAUUCGGUAUCACUUCAAACGGGGUAUUCACGGUUACCGAUUUAAUUGAUUCGACCUGAUGCUCAGAUCAACUUGAUGUUGGCUUGCAUGAGAUGUCAUGUUAUGGUACUGAUUUGUAACUAGGACAGUGUGUGAUCAUUGCAAACAUAAUGAAAUUUGAAUUAUUUUUGCAAAUUCCAAUUUAAAAAGUGAUUAUAAGAAUUGAAUUAUUCCUUAUUCCACAAUUUAGGGUUCUGUAACUUUUUCAAACAUAGUUGAAAAUAGCAUAAUCAGAAUCCUUGAAUUUUUCUGAUACUUUUUCAUAUAUAAAUUAUUUUCAUUGGAAUUACAGAUUAAUUUCUAUGAUUUUUACAAGUUUUAGCAAUUUACUAGAAUUAUUUCUAUACUGGAAAUUCUAUUUAUUGCAUCAGACUGACGUCAGCAGGUCAGCCGACCUGUUCAGGUCAAACCUGACAGGGGGGACCCGCUGGUCAGCCUCUCUGGGACUAAUCCCGCGCUGACCAGUCCUAAUUGGGGUUUGACUUGGCCUUGGGCCCACUGUCAGCGAGUGAUUAAGCCCUGAGCUGCUGGGUUAGCUUUGCCACGUCGACCCCCACCAGAGGGUGGUCGCCGGCGACCAGGCCCGCGGCGAAGGGCUCGCCGGAGGCGACCUAAACGGCGCUGCACAGCACCAAUUUGAACGCGGUUUGCACCUACGGCACGCUGGCGAAGUGGCCGAUCUGGCAGGGCUAUCAGGGGAGGGCUAGGGUCUCUGGGAGAGGCGCCGGCGACGAGCCGGAGCGGCGGCCGAAGCUCGGCCUUCUAUGAGAGACGGCUCUAGGGCACGGGGAGGGCAGCUGAGGGGCUCAUCACGCUCCUCGAGGCUCCAGGAGCUCGAACCCUAGCUCGAGCGUGUGGAUCGGACACCACAGCGACGGCGACGACAUGGCCGGCGGCGAGGAGCUCUCGGCCUUGGUGGGGAACGAGGCUACGAUGCACGGGAGAGCGUGGGGCGAGAGGGGAAAUGACGACGAGCUCACGGCGGUUCCGAUGGUGCUGAUGAGGGGCUCGGGGAUGCGCCGGAGGGAGCGAAUCGACGGGAGAGGUCCGGCGGCCGGAGGUGGAAGACGACGGCGUUGGGGGCGGAUGCAGAGCUUGGGGAGACUUCGGCUUCUGCAGAGAUGACCAGGGCGACGAUGCGGAGCUAACAGACUACUCGGAGGAGGGUUCCCAUGGCUAGAGGUGUUGCGGCUCGAGCUCAAGCUCGGCUCCAAUGGCGGCAGCAGGAGGGAGGGCAAGAUCCAAGAGGGGAGGAAGAACGGUGCUGGGGAAUGGAUAGAGGAGACCCUGGGGAGCUUAUCCCCAGCCUUGUCAGCGCGAGGCGGCGGCCAGGCAGGCGCACAGGUGCGUGGCCGCGCCGGAGGAGGCGGCGGCCACCUCCUGCUCCUACUGGCGCGAGGGAGGGGACGAGCCAGGGAGAUGGGCCGGGCSAGGCUAGACGACAGGUAAGGGUUUCCCUAUUUUUUUUYCUUGUUUUUGUUUUUCCGUUUUGCUAACUAUUGUUGUGUUAUUUAUUUCAGCUCCAAAACAAAAAGUAAAAACUAUUUUAGACCUCCUGAAAUAUUGUUAUAAUAUUCCCAACCAUUUCCAAAGUUUUCAACAUUUUUGAAAAUUUAUAGUUUCUGAUUUCAAAUUUCAAUUUUGAAACCACUGGCUUUUGCAUUAAUUUAAAAAAUGCUUAAAGUGUCAAGAAAAUAGUUUUCUCCAAUGCUCAUUUACUUUCAUGAUUUAUCAGAAAGUUUGAACAUUUCUUGAGGCCAUUUUGGGUUCAUUGAUUUCAACUAGUUUGAGAUUUUCUUUAUUUAAAGUAGUAGCUAGGGUUUUGAGUUUUUCCUUUGCCACUAUCUUGUUUUUGUUGAAACUCCUUAGAUGCAAAUGCAAAGAAGACAUGAGCACAAGACUAACUUGCUUAAAGUGUUAGGGAUGUGACAACUCACCCACACUCAAGAGAAUCUCGUCCCGAGAUUUAGAAGUCGUCGGGAAUAACGCAGGAUAUUCAAGUCGGAGACGAUCCUCUCUUUCCCAAGUUGCCUCCUUUUCAGAAUGAUUUGACCAUUGAACUUUAAGAAACUUGAGGUUUCGACGUCGAGUGUUACUCUCAGCUUGAUCAAGAAUACGCACGGGGUAUUCUCGGUAUGAAAGGUUAUCUUGUAGAUCAAGCGUUUCGUGGUCCACUUCACGGAUAGGAUCCGAAAAGCAACGCCUGAGUUGCGAGACGUGGAAAACAUCAUGAACCUUGGAAAGAUGCGGAGGAAGUUCCAACUGGUAGGCAACUUCUCCUCGUUUGGCAGGAAUGCGAAAAGGACCAAUGUAACGAGGAGCCAACUUGCCCUUGAUACCGAAACGAUGGGUACCCUUCAAAGGUGUAACCCGAAGGUAAGCCUUCUCGUCAACUUCAAAGGUCACAGCCUUAUGAUGACGAUCAUAUUGGCUCUUUUGACGAGACUGGGCUGUUUUCAACUUUUCACGAAUAAUGCGAACCUGCUCUUCUGCAUCCUGGAUCAUAUCCGGACCAAAGAGUUGCCUCUCUCCGGUUUCUGACCAAUUAAGAGGUGUUCGACAUCUUCGUCCAUAGAGAACUUCAAAAGGGGCUUUGCCCAAGCUUGAUUGGUAACUAUUGUUAUAAGCGAAUUCGGCGAAUGGGAGGCACUUUUCCCAAUUCAUACCGAACGAUAUAACACAAGCUCGGAGCAUAUCUUCUAGAAUUUGAUUCACUCUUUCUACUUGACCACUUGAUUGGGGAUGGAAAGCAGUGCUAAAAGAUAGGUGAGUCCCCAUGGCAUUCUGAAAACUUUCCCAAACGCGAGAAGUAAAGAUGCUUCCACGGUCCGAGUUAAUCUCCAGGGGAACACCAUGAAGAGACACUAUUCGAGAGACAUAUAACUCUGCUAGCUGGCUAGCUGUUAUACUCUCAUGAACAGGAAGAAAAUGAGCCACUUUGGAAAGACGGUCAAUGACCACAAAGAUAGCAUUAUUUCCUUUCUUGGUCUUGGGAAAUCCGGUAAUGAAAUCCAUGCUAACUUUAUCCCAUUUCCAUUCAGGAAUAGCUAGAGGCUGAAGGGUGCCGGCAGGCCUUUGAUGUUCUGCCUUAACUCGACGACAAACGUCGCAGUUAGCAACGAACUCAGCAAUUUCUCUCUUCAUCCUAGUCCACCAGAACCUCUGGCGUAGGUCCUGAUACAUCUUAGUACUACCGGGAUGAAUGGUGAGAGGAGAAUCAUGAGCCUCCUUAAGGAUUAACUGCCUUAGAUGUGGGUUCUUAGGAACCACUAAACGAUUCUGGAAGAACACAACACCUUGAUCGUUCAUGGAAAAUUCUUUAGCGUUUCCGCUAAAAAUAUUCUCCUUGAUCCGUGAUAUACCCUUGUCACGCUUUUGGCCAGCUAUAAUUUGAUCCUUAAGAGUAGGCUUCGCCACCACGGUAGAAAGGAAUCCUUGAGGAACAAUAUGAAGAUUCAACUUCCGAAAGUCCUCAUGGAGAUGUGGUUGACCUUGUUGUAGCAUCAAAUUGUUACAAUAAGAUUUACGACUUAGCGCAUCGGCCAUAACGUUGGCCUUCCCCGGGGUGUAAGUUAUCCCUAAGUCGUAAUCCGAGAUCAACUCAACACACCAUCUUUGCCUGAGAUUCAAAUCCGGCUGGGUGAAGAUAUACUCCACACUUUGGUGAUCAGUGAAUAUUUCGCAACGAUUACCCAGAUGGUAAUGUCGCCAGGUUUUUAGUGCAUGGACCACAGCUGCAAGCUCAAGGUCAUGUGUGGGACAAUUAUCCUCAUGUGGACGCAACUGUCGAGAUGCGUAUGCGAUCACUUGACGAUCUUGCAUGAGAAUGCAACCCAAUCCUUGUCGCGAGGCGUCGCAGUAGAUAACAUAGUCCUUAGAGAAAUCUGGUGGUAGCAACACAGGAGCGGAAGUCAGGCGUCUUUUCAGUUCCUGAAAACUAUGCUCACACUGUGGUGUCCACUCGAACUUUUUAUAUUUCUUGAGGAGUUCAGUUAGAGGCUUUGCAACCUUGGAGAAAUUCUCGACAAAGCGGCGACAAUAGCUCGCUAGACCAAGAAAACUCCUAACUUGCUUAACCGAUUCAGGUUGAGUCCAAUCAAGGACAACUUGAACUCUCUCGGGAUUGACAUCAAUACCCUUACCAGAGAUUACGUGGCCUAGAUAGGUCACUUCUGGUAACCAGAAUUCACAUUUUGAAAAUUUGGCAUAAAGGCGAUGCUCUCGAAGUUUCAUCAAUACCAGCCUUAGAUGCUCGGCAUGUUCUUGUUCAUUCUUCGAGUAGAUGAGAAUAUCAUCGAGGUAUACUACGACGAAUUUAUCCAAAUACUCCAUGAAGAUUGAAUUCAUCAGAUGAGAGAAGGUGGCUGGGGCAUUGGUUAAACCGAAGGACAUAACGGUGUACUCAUAUUGGCCAUAACGAGUAACAAAAGCCGUUUUUGGAAUGUCCCCGUUCUUAAUCUUGAUUUGAUGGUAUCCCAACCUCAAAUCCAUUUUGGAGAAGAGCGAGGAUCCAGCGAGCUGAUCGUACAGGUCGUUGAUCCUGGGGAGCGGAUACUUGUUCUUUAUGGUGACCAGAUUAACUGGUCGGUAAUCUACAACCAUCCGAUCCGUUCCGUCUUUCUUAUUGACAAAGAGGACAGGACAAGCCCAAGGAGAAGAGCUAGGACGAAUGAAACCUUUGUUCAAGGCCUCAUCUAAUUGAUUUUUAAGUUCGGCUAGCUCCAGGGGUGCCAUCUUAUAAGGUCUUCUGGCUAUUGGGACAGUUCCCGGAACAAGAUCUAUCACAAACUCUACAUCUGUGACAGGUGGAAUUCCUGGCAGUUCCUCUGGAAAAACAUCCGGGAAGUCACGGACUACCGGAAUGUCUUCAAGUUCCGGAAGAGGGUUGGCAUUUAGGGAAUAGAGUUGGCAUUUGGCAACUCGAGUGGAGACAUUUACUAUCUCACCCGAGGGAUGGGUAAGCUGGACAUUUCUAGAAUGAGUAUCAAUCUUGGCAUAGUGAGCUGACAUCUAGUCCAUGCCCAAGAUGAUAUUAAUAUCCAAAGAUUUCAAGGCUAUCAAUGAGGCUAGAAAAACUAGCCUGUCUACUAGAAUUUCAUCGUCGUAGGUUAUCCUAGAGGUUUUCCAUUUACUACCAGGGGUUUGGACAACCAAUGGGAUUGGCAUAUCACAAAAAGACAUGUUAUGCAACUGUGCAUAACUUUCUGAAAUGAAGGAAUGAGAAGACCCAGUGUCAAAGAGACUGGACGCUGGGUGAUGAUUAACAAGAAGCGUACCCAGCAUGACGUCGGGAUCCUCUGCAUCUUCUUCUGCUGACACAUAGUUCACACGGCCACGUGCAGGAGUUGGCUUCACAUAGUACGCUUUGCCCGACUUGGCCUGCCCGACGGACUUUCCGGGUUGCUUGGCACCCACAUUCUGAGGACACUCACGGGAAUAGUGCCCUGGUUCUCCACACUUGUAGCAUAUCACUUGGUUGGCACGUGGUGCAGCAUUGAUAGCUGGACCACCAUAAGCUUUUGCUGGAGGGUUGGCCUGAUUCGUCUGAGGCGCCACGUAGGAUGGCCUCGGAGUGUAUCUUGGUGGGAGAGAACUGUUUGGAACCCAUAGCCUGCGUUUUGGAAACGCGGAACCAGAAGACGAGCCAAAGUCACGGGAGUGCUUCCUUGUGGCUUCGAAGUCAGUAUGACCAGUCUCGGCACUGAUCGCUUUGUUGACCAGAGCUUGAAAACUUGCACACUCAUGGAGGUGCGGAUCACGACGGAGCUUAGGGCUCAGACCCUUACGGAAUCUUGCUUGCUUCUUGGCGUCAGUAGACACUUCCUCUGUUGCAUAGCAGGCGAGGUUACCGAACUCGCGGCUAUAGGCAUCCACAGACAACUUGCCCUGAGUGAAGGCACAUAACUCCUCUCUCUUUCUGUCCAUCAGGCCCUCUGGAAUAUGGUGCAGACGAAAAGCUGCACUGAAGUCUGCCCAUGUGGCCACUGGUUCAGCGGGACGCAUAGCUUCAAAAUUCUCCCACCACAGAUUGGCGGGUCCUUCCAGAAAAUACGCCGCAAAGGUCACCUUGUCGGCCUCAGACACAUUCGCAGAGCGAAUCUUGCGUGAGAUGCUGCACAGCCAGUCAUCAUCGUCGAGGGGAUCGAUGGAAUGAUGAAACUUUGGAGGAUUCAGCUUCACAAAGUCAUUGAGGGACACUGCAACAUUCCUAGGCUGUCGAGCCGUAUUCUGCUCAAUACGCUCUAGCAGUCGGUUGGUCUCCCUUUUGUUUCUUUCUGCCUCAAGCAUCACUUCUACCAGAGAAGGUGGGUGAGGCAGGUCUUCCUGUGACGCUUGACUACCCUCACCUUGCUCAUGAGCAGGGGCACGGUUCAACCUGGUGAACACCAUCCUGACAAACAAACUCAUAGCUUAGACCAACAUCAUAUCAAUACUAGCUAUGGAUUAAGAAUGUACUGAACACACGGAAUGCGGAAAUUAAUAUCCGAACCACAUGGUAACAAGCAACUGCUAUAUAUACACCAUGGUUCAUACACACCCUUACAUAGUUUAGUACAACCUUAACCAAAGAGCAAACUACUGAAAUUAUGAAACUACUCAUCAGAGGCUUACAAGCUUCCUAUACAUUAUUUAUCUAGGCCUCCGGAAUUCAUUUCACAUUACAGGCAUACUUCACAAGUCAUGCAGGACUGUGAACGUACGGCUACUACCAUACUAUCCUUCCGCUCACAGCUCAGGCAUCCGCAUAGAACAUCUCAUAGAGAUUACCUCCAUGGCCUGGAAGCUCAACCUGCGGAUCAGGAAACACCCCAGCCUGAGAUCCCUGGGAUCCAUAAGGACACGGAUGUGGCCUUGGUCCCCUGACUGGUGGUAAGAGGGGUCCCCGAAGAGGUGUGACUCCUCCUAUAGCUAGCUAGUCAACGUGGGCCGGAAGAUGGGUCCUAACAGGAUUCAGCAUCUCCAUCUCUCCAUACCUUGUCUGGACUACCGGUGCCAGCUGCGUCAAAGCUGUCCACAGACGGGCACGGGUAGCAUAAAGCUCCAUGCGGAGAGCACGAGCAUCCCUGUCUCUGUUCUCUAGCAUCUCAACAGUGGACUGCAGUAGUGGAUCCUCCAUAGAAGAAUCAAAAUAGACUGCACUGAGGUAUCCCUCUUCACCAGGCUGAGAGGCCGGAACAUAGCACAACUCUGAAUUCUGCAGCAGUGCAUGUCUCGCUCUCAUAAUGGUCAGCAUUGAAUAGGCAGCAUCCUGUACUGCCAUGUCAACGGUGACCCCCAACCCAUAGGACCAAUGGAUUGGCUUCUCAGCUCCAAGGUAGUCUGGAAAUACCCUAACAGUGCAGAUGUACUGGCCCUGGUUGAAGUCUCGGUACUGUUCCUCCACUGUGUACUCGGGGUACCAGCGGUAACCGCACACCGACAUCACCCUGACCAGCAUGGCCGUAUGACCCGGCACAUCAAUGCACCUGGUCAGACGUACCACCUGACGAGAAGGACGGCCAGGCAUCUGUAAAUAGAGAGUAAUGCAAAAGCAUUAGAGCUCCGAAUGCAAAAUUGGGCAGCAUAACGGCUGUAAAUGCUCAAAACAAAUUUGAGACAACCCAAAAUGGAAUAGCGUAACCACUCAACUAUCAAGUUCAACUCUCUGAUCAUCAAACCUACUUCCUUUUCCUAGGAAUGACAGAAACCACAUAUCUCUUGACCCGUAGUCCUAUAAUCUACCGAUCAGAACACGAGCCUAGAAGAAGAUGAGUAACCUAGUCCUUAAUUCCCGCAGAAAAGAUGGGGAUGACCAGAAUAGAAUAACUUGAGAAGAGAACAAGAGUCCUACGUUCCCUUCCACAAACAAUUCCCAUAUAUAUAACUAAAGCAAUUCUAGACUCAACUUCGACCAGUUUAGCUUAGUACUCCUACAGUCAGUCAGGCUCUGAUACCAACGCUGUCGGGACCCCGAUCCUAAGCCAUAGGAAUCCAGCUUGUAACACAUCGCAUCCCUUUGUGGUCUCACGCACGGUUAACUCCACGGCUGCAGCCUUACCUUAGCCGGGGCCGUUUGCGUCUUUUGACUCACGUAUGCGAUAGUGUUGCUAGCAAUCCAAUGUCAAAGAACCCGGAUCGACAUGACUAGUCAUAAACCAAAGUGGCAGUACCGUACAAGGACAGGCAUACAUGACCCAACAAAGCAGGUGUCGGUCAUCAGCGAAUGUAGACGAGUCGUAGCAAGCUACAAGGACUCCAUUACAUCGCGUGGCAUUUCCCCAAAGGGGACAGACACAGCAGCUAAGAAGGACACAUGCCGGUCAACCAAUGUGUCCGGAGCAGUAGCGAACUACCAAGGCUCAUUGGAUCACAAAGGGGCAUUUCCUCGUAAGGAGUGCUACUAAAGUUCACGACUAGGUAAUCGAACCCCAUACAUAUCAAGUACGACACACGUACGCAUGGCAUACCGAUAUGUAUAGAUACAUCGAUGGCAUCACAACAUAACCAUAAACAUACAAACUUUAUUUAAGAGGCUCGGAAGAGCCAUACACAUAAUAUUACACAUUAAGGGUCUCACGACCCAUAAUAACAGUCAUACAAUUACAAGCGAGCAGAAGAGUUAUAAACUGUCUGGGUACAGACAGGGCAACUAGAAGGCACAUGGCCUUACUAUACUACAGAGCCGACGUAGGGCCAGAUCGUAGCUGGGACACCAGCUACUCGUCGUCGUCGAUGUCUACGAAGAACCCUCCAUUAGGGUCAUUAGCAACCUCUGCAACAUUUAUUAAGCAAACAUGAGUACGAAGGUACUCAGCAAGACUUUAGGAGAACUAACUACUCAUGCAAGGUAUCAAAAGGUAUUGUGGGGUUUCAUGCGGAAAGCCAGCAUUUGACUCGUGGCUAGACAACUUGCAUUUUUAAAUAAUUUUGACAACUUGAUUUCUCGCACACGAGUCCACUAACACCACAACAAUACACUAUCGUGGAAUCAUUCCGUCUCCGUACGGAAAUGCUGUCCAUGACACUCACACUUAUCUUGGCAAUUUUAUGAGUAGCCCUUGAAGUUAUCUAUGAACAACAUAUGUCUCCAAGUAGUCCAUAUCCGCGGACGCGGCUAUUCGAAUAGAUCAUAACCCUGCAGGGGUGUACUUCGUCACACACGCUCUCGUCACUUAUCGCCAUGUGCACGUCAUGCACCUCGGCAACCUUCAAGCGGAAGCCCAGCGAGGGAGUCGGCCACGACCGUUAACCACACUAGUACCUAGUCCAGGUUUAUCGCCUAUCUGAGAGUAACCCCUACGGAAGUCCGUCCGAGGUUUCCGCCACGGCCUCAAACGAUGUGCGCAGGGUUCCCAAGCCCACCAUCCAGGUGCCACUUGGUACACCGUGCCACUGCCUACCGCAUCACGGUCCACCUCUCAGGUCAGCAGCAUGCACGGCCUCCAGCAUUACUAUAAACACCAGAAACUACAUGCAACUCCUGGACCGAGUACUACGCGAUUAAUAGGCCGAGCGGGGUCAUAUUUCAGGCCCCAGCAUGUGGUAGUAUCUAGUCUUGGAUUACAUACACGCAACUCAGUUCCUAAGGACGGUUCCAAUGAAACAACCCGCCAUGUACUCCUACACAGCCUUUCACCGGUACCUUUACCAAAUCAAGUUCAACACACAACCUUUGCUCACCGAACACAUUCCACAUUUCUGUUCAUCUCCCAGAUGACAGACCAUACACAACUCUAAGCAUAGCAUGCAUAGCAGGAUAAGGCACAUCAUAGCUCAAGCAACUACCAGGUAUGCUAGGUUGCAAGGUUCGGCUAUUUACCGUGACAAAGUUAGGUCAUGCAAAGGAAGUGGGUUCAACUAACGUGGAAAAAACAGUUGAAGCAUUUGAUCCUAAUGCAAUAAUUAAGUGCAGGAGCAAGAACAUGGGAAUUAUCGGAAUGCUCAAAGGGGUUGCUUGCCUUGUUGCUAAGAGGAGGAACGAUAUCCGUCAGACGGAUAUUCGGUGGAAUCCGGGGUUGCGGAGCCUACCGAAAUAAAUGGCAACAUUCAAUAACAAUCAUAUGCAAUCAAAAUGAUGCAUGAGCAUGGCAUGAGAAUGCAAGGUGAUAAGUUAUUAUAAUCAACAUGUAUUAGGUUUAGAGUUGUUGAUUUGAAUCAUAUUCGAUAUCACUUCAAACGGGGUAUUCAGGGUUACCGAUUUAAUUGAUUCGACCUGAUGCUCAGAUCAACUUGAUGUUGGCUUGCAUGAGAUGUCAUGUUAUGGUACUGAUUUGUAACUAGGACAGUGUGUGAUCAUUGCAAACAUAAUGAAAUUUGAAUAUUUUUGCAAAUUCCAUUUAAAAAGUGAUUAUAAGAAUUGAAUUAUUCCUUAUUCCACAAUUUAGGGUUCUGUAACUUUUUCAAACAUAGUUGAAAAUAGCAUAAUCAGAAUCCUUGAAUUUUUCUGAUACUUUUUCAUAUAUAAAUUAUUUUCAUUGGAGUUACAGAUUAAUUUCUAUGAUUUUUACAAGUUUUAGCAAUUUACUGGAAUUAUUUCUAUACUGGAAAUUCUAUUUAUUGCAUCAGACUGACGUUAGCAGGUCAGCCGACCUGUUCAGGUAAAACCUGACAGGGGGGACCCACUGGUCAGCCUCUCUGGGACUAAUCCCGCGCUGACCAGUCCUAAUUGGGGUUUGACUUGGCCUUGGGCCCACUGUGAGCGAGUGAUUAAGCCCUGAGCUGCUGGGUUAGCUUUGCCACGUCGACCCCCACCGGAGGGUGGUCGCCGGCGACCAGGCCCAUGGCGGAGGGCUCGCCGGAGGCGACCUAAACGGCGCUGCACAGCACCAAUUUGAACGCGGUUUGCAGCUACAGCACGCUGGCGAAGUGGCCGAUCUGGCAGGGGCAUCAGGGGAGGCUAGGGUCGCCGGGAGAGGCGCCGGCGACGAGCCGGAGCGGCGGCCGAAGCUCGGCAUUCUAUGAGAGACGGCUCUAGGGCACGGGGAGGGCAGCUGAGGGGCUCAUCACGCUCCUCGAGGCUCCAGGAGCUCGAACCCUAGCUCGAGCGUGUGGAUCGGACACCACAGCGACGACGACGACAUGGCCGGCGGCGAGGAGCUCUCGGCCUUGGUGGGGAACGAGGCUACGAUGCACGGGAGAGCGUGGGGCGAGAGGGGAAACGACGACGAGCUCACGGCGGUUCCGAUGGUGCUGUUGAGGGGCUCGGAGAUGCGCCGGAGGGAGCGAAUCGACGAGAGAGGUCCGGCGGCCGGAGGUGGAAGACGACGGCGUUGGGGGGCGAUGCAGAGCUUGGGGAGACUUCGGCUUCUGCAGAGAUGACCAGGGCGACGAGGCGGAGCUAACAGACUACUCGGAGGAGGGUUCCCAUGGCUAGAGGUGCUGCGGCUCGAGCUCGAGCUCGGCUCCAAUGGCGGCAGCAGGAGGGAGGGCAAGAUCCGAGAGGGGAGGAAGAACGGUGGUGGGGAAUGGAUAGAGGAGACCCUGGGGAGCUUAUCCCCGGCCUUGCCAGCGCGAGGCGGCGGCCAGGCAGGCGCACAGGUGCGUGGCCGCGCCGGAGGAGGCGGCGGCCACCUCCUGCUCCUACUGGCGCGAGGGAGGGGACGAGCCAGGGAGAUGGGCCGGGCCAGGCUAGGCGACAGGUAAGGGUUUCCCAUUUUUUUUCUGUUUUUUUUUCUGUUUUGCUAACUAUUGUUGUGUUAUUUAUUUCAGCUCCAAAACAAAAAGUAAAAACUAUUUUAGACCUCCUGAAAUAUUGUUAUAAUAUUCCCAACCAUUUCCAAAGUUUUCAACAUUUUUGAAAAUUUAUAGUUUCUGAUUUCAAAUUUAAAAUUUGAAACCAGUGGCUUUUGCAUUAAUUUAAAAAUGCUUAAAGUGUCAAGAAAAUAGUUUUCUCCAAUGCUCAUUUACUUUCAUGAUUUAUCAGAAAGUUUGAACAUUUCUUGAGGCCAUUUUGGGUUCAUUGAUUUCAACUAGUUUGAGAUUUUCUUUAUUUAAAGUAGUAGCUAGGGUUUUGAGUUUUUCCUUUGCCACUAUCUUGUUUUUGUUNNNNNNNNNNNNNNNNNNNNNNNNNNNNNNNNNNNNNNNNNNNNNNNNNNNNNNNNNNNNNNNNNNNNNNNNNNNNNNNNNNNNNNNNNNNNNNNNNNNNCUACACUAAGAAGAAUAUUNUUCUAACCUARWMMAAAGUAWUUAAUUAAAAAAAUUGAAACUUAUACUACAGAAAGAUAUAAUCAUUAGGAAGCAGUAGCAAAAAGAAUCAAAUAAAAAUAUAUUUUUAAACUCCUCGAAUAAGCAAAACAAGGUUUAAACUAAAUCUGAUCUAAUUCAAAUUUGAAAAAUUCAAACCUAGACAAAUAAUAUGUUUUUGAAAACUACAGAAAUAUUGUGAUUUACUGGAACACGUUUCUACUCCAUUGGAAUUCUGGAUCAAAAGUUAUGAUCGAAACAAGAUUUAAACUUUCUCGGUUUUGGAAUUAAUACAGAAAAAGRAAAAAAAACUGAUUCUAACGGACAGUGGUACAUGUGGCAGUCCCUGAUUGGUUGUCGGGUGUGUUUGCUGCGGGAGUAGUAAGAAAAUGGCCGAUAUCUAGUGAAAACGUGUCGGCUCAGUCUAAGUGGAUAGAAAACCGGGCUGGUUUUAUGUAAAAACCCGAAGGGGUACACCACAUCUAAUCUGCACCGCAUGCUUUAGAUCUAACGGCUACCGAGGGGGUGGGGGUGCUCACCGGUGGGGAGUUGCUGGUGCUCCUUCUCCGGCGAGGCAGAGAAGGUGGCGGUCGACGGGGAGGGCCCUCCGGCGGUCUUCGGCGGCGGCUGAGGUGACGGGGAUGUUGCGGGGAAGCUCCGGCAUCCUAGGGAAGUGACAGCGAGGCGAGAGAGAGUCGGGGCGUCGUGCUCGAGCACCUCGACUUCUUGGUGGCGGCCUAACUCCGACGUGGUUGGGGGUGAGGCGUGGCGGCGUGGGAGCUCGGGCCUUAGGUGAAAGAUGGAACGCGGCGGCCAUGGGGAAGCUCGUGGCGGCGUCGGUUGGGGCGGGGAGGCGAGCGAUGGCGCGGGGGAUGGCAGGGCGUUUUUCUSUSGAGCUUUUCUCCUGCGAGGGAGCAGGGCAGGGGCGAGGUGGUGAUGCGGCGUGGGGAGGAGGGGCCGAGGGGGGGCGUGGGGCRGCGGCUUAUAUAGGGGGGAGGGGGCUCGAGGGAAGGAAAGGGCUCGCGGAUCCGAGCGGAUCCCGGCGAGGCAGUAGUCUCGCCAUGGAAGGGAAGAGCUCGCACGGGAAGAAAGGAAGGAGACCGAGGGGGAGAGAGAUCGGGCGUGGGGGCCCAGCUACACAGAGAAAGGNNNNNNNNNNNNNNNNNNNNNNNNNNNNNNNNNNNNNNNNNNNNNNNNNNNNNNNNNNNNNNNNNNNNNNNNNNNNNNNNNNNNNNNNNNNNNNNNNNNNACUUGCGCUUACCCGACGACGGGAGGUGGAAGAGAAGAGAGGAGAGGAGAAGUCAAUCAAUCAAACCCUACGAUGCGGGGAAACCAUUGGGGGCUCGUGUGGUAUUUACAGAGGGCAUGGAGCUGGUGGCGGCGAUGGGUUUCCAGGAAGGAGUCGGUGCGUGUGGUGGCGGUUCGAACUUUUUCCAGUCGUGGUCGGAGAUGAACCGACGUCGGAGGGCCACGCGGAUUUGGUGGGAAGGGAGGGAAAUCCUUAUUCGUCGCAUUCUCUGUCGAAAUGUCGAGGCUUCGCACACGGGUAUUCAUAAAUGGGCCGGUCCAUUUACAUGUUCAACACCUUCGGUUUCG